rnacentral:lncRNA from 1 species
CCGUGGGUCUUGAGUUCGGCAAGACGACUUCGGUUCACACGUGAAAGUGCUUCGAAAGGCACCGGCUCCCAAUGGUGAAAUUCUUGCUGAAAGCACAGCUACGUGCUGGCACUCAAUCAAGUAGUAGCGCUGGCACGUCACUCGGCUCCUCGGCUAUUUCUCCUUAGGCGCAUGUCUCAGCAACACAAAACGGUGUAGUUUUGAAGCAGGCUUCGACAGCUGCGAGCUCCGCGUCGAAAAGCGAAGCGAGCCGCGCUGUCGUCAUCGAGGAGGGGAGGUAGCUUAUUGACCAACUGUAUAGGGUAGGAAGGCACAGUCCCAGAAAAAGGCUCAGGGGCGGGACAGUUUCAGUUGAAGAUGAAGGAGCUGCAAGGACAGAAACUAAACGCAAAGUAGGAGUUACAGUUUCGGGUGCGGUAGUUGUAGUAAACGCCCCACCCCAGUUUAGUAUAAGAACAGAGGGAACCUUUUUUUUUUCCUUCGGGAAGUAUGGAAAAACUGGUAUGAGAGUGCGAGAAAAAAAGCAGUGGUCAGUAGUGUUUUUAAAACUUUUCAUUCACUCGCUCUAAGCACGGGAAUAGAAUAAAGAGGAAUUUCGCUACCUUAGGACAGUUAGAGUUACUGCCGCCGUUUACCGGGGCUCCCUGCAGCUUCGCUGGGCUUUACCCGCGUGGACGCGGGAGCCGUAUGAUGCGGAAGUCUCACGUACGGUUCCCUGAGAAGGGAGUGGCUACCCACUGGAGCUUCUAACAGCCCAUCCUACCUCCUCUACCUAUUUUAGAACCUAUCUUUUGUCUUAGUAGAGUCUUUCAGUGGCAUGUUUCAGUCCUCUUUCAACUCGGUUGGUGUCUCCUGUCCUCCGGUUCUUCUCUCGUCUUUCGUACAUCUACAACAUUCCAUUCUACUUACUUUGGUGUAAUGGAAAUGAAACGAGCCUAAAAGAAAGAAAGGAGACAAGGUCGGAACUAAGACGUCAAUAGCUUAUUUUAAGUGACGAUCCAUACCACAUAGUUCCGGCAACUACGAAAGCAGCAAAAAAAACAGCAGCGAUACUACUGGAAAGUACAGUUUCAGCCAGUUCACUUUGCCUAUUCCUCUUCUGUCACAUUCCCUAGCUUUGUGAAAUGACUUGACGGAUUUGCUUGCCUUUCCUCUAGAAGAGACAGGCUUACUGAAACUAGCACUAGCCGCCCAACUAUUUUCUUUAACCAGGUAAGCAGCUGUCCCUUCCGAACAAAGAAAAUUUUUUAUUUUAUUAUAUAAAGGAUGAGAUCAAUUCGGAAGCGCCUCUCCAGUCCCAACAAGGGAAAAUCAAUCCAGUUAGCCAAUUUUUGAAAGCUUUUAAAAGUGCUUUACUAAGGUGGUCUUCCCUUAUUUUCCCUAACGUUCUGAGUUGUUCUGGUUUGAGAAAGGAGCACUCGACGAUGUGACUCCAAGAGCCGAACGAGAAUGAAUACCACACAGAAGAGUCAAGACCGGGCUCCCUGAUAGAAUGUUUCAGAUGCAAAAGUUAUCAAUAUGAAGCAUAACAGCCUUUUACUCCGUUUUGUCAAAAACAUAUUUUUCACUAAAACAAAAAAGAAACUAUUGAACUAGAAUGCAAAAAGCAGCGACCUCAUGAUGAUGCGAUAGUUCUUGUCCUGAAAAUAGGAGGAAACAGAGUCAAACGUGUUUUGGUUGACUCGAAUAACAAAAGAAAGAAAUUUUUUUUUGUAAAGUAAAAUUAAGGUCUUUGCUUUUACUUAUAGCAUUCUUUCUUUUAGGUAAAAGAAAGAACUAAAAAAAAAUAUGAUCUUAUCACUAGGGAAAGCCGAUACAGCUGAUCCCUCACCAGAUGAGGCUGGUGACAAGUUCCAAUUGUACUUUUGUUGACCAAUAUCUGACCGGGAGCUCCUCUCAGUGUUCCAGUCGGUGGAACUACUCUCGGACGAAUUUUUAACGUUUUGGGGGAGUUUUAUUCGUUCUUUGAGCAAAAAGAUAAAGAUCGGAUAGAUUCGAACCGCAAUUGCAAAGAAACAGAUCUGAUUCAUUCAGAAUAGCUGGUCGGAUACUGGAAUCUACUAUUAAAUAUAAAUUAAAUAAAAAAUAAAUUAGAGGCCUCCUGCUCUUUUUGAGAGUCAGGGGCAAGCCCGGCCUAGCGCUUUAAAAAGGGCUGUCUGCAUUACUGGAAAACCCGGCUUCCCUAAAACCAAUACGAGUACGAGCGCUAGCCCUUUUGGGAACAACAACGGCUUCCUAUUGAAAAUCCAGCUAGUUCGAAUAGCCGAGGACAGGAUUGAUCAUUUUAUUUAUAUAUAUGGGAAAGUAGUAAAUUGCAUUUUCCCCGCCUUCCUAAGGUCACUAAGGCGGAGCACGGAAAAGAAAAUGGGGCACCCAUGUUUUACCACUUCGCAUAUUGGCUUUAUAUUAUCUACGGCGUCAACCAUAAGUUUGAUUACAUCGCGUUCAGUUCGAGCUAGGCGGUGAAAAGUUGGUUCUGACGUCGAAGAUAGGCUAGCUAGGACUGAAGCUUUGAAGCGGAUUGGUACUGCUUUUCCUUUGGGCUCAGGCAUGGUUGCUGAUGAAAGUUGGCAUGAAAGUGCUAACUAACCUUACCUUAUUUCUAGGAGCUAGUGGAAUUUCUUCAUUUUGAAUCUGGGCUCUUCUAUCUUCGACUUCUUUUUUUGGCUUUAUUCUUUAUUUAUUUCAUUUCGAUUUCCAACCUGGCAUGGUACCCGCAUCCUGCCCUCGCCCAAGCGGUCAGUGAACUCCGGAGCGGGAAGGUAACUCUAGCAGUUGGUCUUAAGGGAGGUGUUAGAGAUGCGGUUUAGCUUGCUAAAAACCAACCUUGGGUGAUAGAGGGGGAGUUCUAUUCAGGAUGCCCAAGUGGGGUUUCGAUUUCAGAGAGCAGGGUGCUGAGCGACCUGUUAGCCCAUAAGUCAGUACUGUGACGAAGCGGCUGUUGCUCACCCGAUACGAUCGUACGAGGUCACAAUUUACCCAACACGAUCAUCCGGGGUGAACAAGAAUUGGGGAUCGGAUGCGGGCAUUACUCUCUUCCUUUCCUCCUUGCCCUAACUUGAACUGGCUUAAACAAAAAUGGCCGGACUUUCUAAUGAUGGCACUGGCUCGGCUUGAAACUCGCCUUCUGGUCCCGUAAGAGGGAAUUCUGGAGUGAAGACAGAGAGACUCGGCUUCAAGAUGGAGAUUGACCAUCUGCACCUGCUCAUUCAAUUAUUCUAUUCCGAGAAAUCCGGACUACAAUCUUCAGACAGAGGGUCCCUUCGAAUCCGUCGUGUUUGCCGAGCCUGUUUGUGUUGUGUGCCGACCAUCCAUUGUCCCUUUCUUACAAGGCUUCUUUACCCUUGAAGCCUGGUAAAAUGCAAAGUAGUAUGAUGCAUCAAAUUACACCGUGCAAAUUAUUUGAGCUGAGGCCUUUUCGGGAGAAAAAAAAGGGAGGAAAAUAUCUGAGCUACUAGUAGGCUUUUAUCGAGAAGCAGGAAAUUUCCCGUGCCCAUGAUGUGGUCGCUGACAGUGCCAAGUUGUUGCGAGAACCGUGCCAGAUAUCUCUCUGCUGCUCUCACCCAAACAGUCCCUGCUGGAUGGCUGCAACAUGUCAAUUUGCCCUUUCCUUCCUUUCCCCAGUUCCAUCAUGUGCUCACCACCACUUGGGAGAUUCCUUGGUGCCUUUCAACGCAUGGGCUCCUCUUUCAGCUGACACUCCUCUAUGACAGGGAAGGAAAUGGAGAUGACUGCAGAUGAUAGAUGGUGGAUGCUGAGUACAGGGCAUCAACACUUUCAGCUGAACAGGGGGUCCCCUGGAGCACACAAGCUACACAGCAGCGGUAUCAGCUGCUAGACACUUGGACAGCGGUUAGAUCCAAGAGCAGCUGGCCUUGGCCUGUCUUGUACUUGCAUACAUCUAUGUGCAAUGUCACUUGGCUGUCAAUGUCAUUAGGCAGGGUUAAGAUAACUUGAGUAAGGUAGGGUUAAAAUUAGGUACUCUAAAGGCAGUUGCUAACACCUAGGGGAAGGACUACUAACCAUCCUCUGUUGGCAAUGCACAUUGAGUUGUUGACAAUGCAACAGCGCCUAGACACCAGCUGGUGCCGAACGCAUUGAAAGAGUGAGAGGAUUCCAUUUCCACACCUCCACUCCCCAAUAACAGCCCUUCAGUGCCAUAGAGUGAUACAGAGCAACCCGGCCACUUUCACACGCAAUGCAAGCAUCACCUUCAACCUCAUUACCACUAGGAGGCAGCUUUGGGCUGUUUGGCAAUAGGUGUUUAACACCCGUCACAUCAAAUGUUUGGAUGUUAAUUAUGAGUAUUAAAUAUAGGCUAAUUACAAAACUAAUUGCACAGAUGCAGUGUAAUUCGCGAGACGAAUCUAUUAAGCCUAGUUAGUCCAUGAUUUGAUAAUGUGGUGCUACAGUAACCAUUUGCUAAUGAUGGAUUAAUUAGGUUUAAUAGAUUCGUCUCGCGAAUUAGCACAGGGUUCUGCAAUUAGUUUUAUAAUUAGCUCAUGUUUAUUUCUUCUAAUUAGCAUCCGAACAUCCGAUGUGAUAUUGUUAAAGUUUAACACCUCGUAUCCAAAUGCUUCAGCUCGUGGGAUUCAUCAUCAGUGAGCCCAGGUCACCUGCAGGGGGUUGGCACCGGCUUCUGACCGAGGAGGCUGUGCAGAAGAGGCAGCAGGACGACGUGUGCACAGCCCCGUGCGACGCUGACCGGUGGACCCGCUGCCGAGCCAACCAGGCAAGCGCGGGACGACCGGACGAUGCUAUACGUACUCGGUACUCCAUGGCCCCCAUAUACGUACAGUGGGCCUGUUCGCUUGCCGGCUGAAAAGCUGAAACGGCUGAUUUAUUGUGAGAGAAAAAUACUGUUUGGUGGCUGAUAAGCCGGCUGAAUAAGCUGAAGCGAACAGACCCAGUAACUGUACAGGGCUUGCAGCAGUUGGGUGAUCGAGGUGACUGAGACGUCGUGACGGGAGUUGAGUGAAGGAGACUCGAUACGGUGAUGGGGGUGAUGGCUGAUGAGCAGUGUACCAAGCUGUGUGUCUUAUCCGUCGAGCAAGUUGGGUGAUGGGCUCGACGCCUGAUGCCGGCGCACUGCAAUGCCAGAUCGAUGAUGAGAUGACACAUAUCGAAAAGAAAAAAACAAGGAAGGGGCUGGCUGCCUUUCGCGUCAGCGUCAAGCCUCCGCGGCUCCGCCGUCUGCCGGCGGGCCGCCGCCGCCGCUCGUCCAUGAAGAUUUCGAUCGGGGGACUGGGGACAGAGGAACGUCGCUCUCCAUGGAUCCGUCGGAACGGAUAUCACAAGCAUGCAGAUAAUUGAUUAUUAGUAAACAAAUUCGAAGAAAAUAGAGGGAAAUAGUCGGGCACAUGUUUUUUUUUUUGCUGUUGAGUACUGUACAUUUCUCUAUUACAUGCUGGCAAAUCUAUGCAUGGGGUUGUGGUUAAAGUGGGGUGGAUUCAUUCCUGUUUUUUUGUCGAGGGUUAAGAUAUGUGGGAUGGAUGGUAAUAGCAACACUAUUGUUUGAUGAGCUCCAUCUAUCAUUUUAGGACCAACACGUCCGCUGUAUCUUUUCUUUUUCUUCUUAUUUUCCUAAUCUUCUUCUCCCCGCGACAUUCUCCUCCCGCCAUCUUUUGUCCCCACCCGCCUCCUCCCCCGCCACACUGCCCAAGCUGGCUCCUCCCGCCGGUGGCCCUCCACGCGCCGCACCCUAAGACCGGCUCCCCCGCAACCUCAUAUGAUAAAACUCCCUUAACCUCGCAUGUGUAACGUCAAAUUCUGAACCCUCACAUAUUGAUAUUCAAUAAGGUGCCUCGAGGUUAAGCCGCGGAAACAUCGGUGACUUAUCUAUUCUUUAUUAACCCUCGAAGUCUCUAAAGGGGACUCAAGGUUAAUGGUUUGUUCCGUGUUGUCUUUCUUGCAGGAACGAGCACGAAGCGACACUCUGCGAGGUUAGGUGAUUUACUCAUGAUGUUGCAAGAUUGUUAGCUCGAAGCUACUUUAGUCACCCCAGGCAAGAAGGAAGUCUCGAGGUUAGCAAGCGGGAGGUGUGUAGAACACGAACACAUGUAGAAGUCCAAUUUGUACACUCUAACCAAAAUGACCAUUGUACACGGCAUAUUUCAACCCUUUAGUUUGUUACUGGUAGAGAACUGAUAUUUCGUCCAACCCUCUUCAGUCCCGGAUAAAAUCGGACCCGUGACUAAAGUGGCUUUAGUCCCGAGUCAAAUACCAAUCGGGACUAAAGGCCCCCCUUUAGUCCCGAGUCAAAAAUUAGCCACCCGUAGGAGACCCUUUAGUCCCAGGUGGAAAAAAUCAGCAAUCCAUGGGGGACCCUUUAGCCACGGGUGGUAAGACUAGUCCCGGUUGGUGUUAUCACCCGGAAUUAAAGCCCUCGAUCGUUUAGUCCCGGUUGGUGACCUUUAGUACUGGUUGGUGUUACUACCCGAGACUAAAGAGUCCUCCACGGGUGGCUACAAAAAGGACUAAAGCCCUCGAACCCUUUAGUCUUGGUUUGUGUUACCAACCGGGACUAAAGACGUCUUUAGUCCCGGUUGGUAACACAAACCAAGACUAAAGGGUUGCCCACAAGUUAAUACAAAAGGAUUGCAUCCCCUAUAUAGUCAGAUGUGCUGUAUAGGUGGGAUUGUAAGGAAGCUACGCGCGAGGCUUGUGAUCCCACAUACCGCGCACGUGCAUAGUUCGCGUAACUUGCGAGGUUGGGGGGUUUGUGGGUCCUUCCAGGGAUUUCUUUUUUUGCAAAACCAUUUAGUCCGGGUUGGUAUUACCAACCGGGACUAAAGGGGGUAGGGGUUGUGUCUAGCGUGGCGACCCCUUUAGUCCCGGUUGAGCGACCUGGGACUAAAGACUCCCUUUUCGUUUCGAUUACUCUAUCCCGGAUGGAUUUUCGGGAGAUAUGCCCACACCAACCGGACUAAAGGCGAGUUUUUUUUUCUUUUUUUACUUUCAUUGCAUAUUUUACUUUUACCGCACUUUACUCUUAUUGCUUCGUGACCAUUAUUCAAAAACACAAAAAUAUAAUAGUACUUUAUAUCCUGAAAAAAAGUUGUAAAACUUUAUAGCAAAAGGGCAAAAUUGUCUUCGUAGAAGGUAUAUGAUAUUUCAUGGUCAACUGAACAGUGUAGUGGUACUUUUUAAAACCUAAAGCAAGUUGAUCAAGUGGUGUAUUUGGAAGAGACAAUAAAGACCUGAUUUCACUAAUCAUUAGGAACAUCAAAUGGUCGUACAGAUGGAUUGAUAUUAGGAAAUUACAUCAAAUGAAGUUGCACAAUAAUGGGUGACCAUCCCAUUGGCAAAUAUUGAAAAAUAUGAAAAGUUUGAAAUGGAAACUUAAGUGUACAUGUAGCUGUAGGCCUGUGGUUCACGCACGGCCACGCUAUUUAUUCAGAAAAUAACAAGGCGCGUAACGACGCCUGCUGCAACUAGCUAGUCUGAUGAAGUUGCAUGCAGCUGAUCGAUGAGCUCAGCUCGGAAGCUUCCCGGCCCGUCCACAGACUAAACACUGAACGUGCCACUCAGCACGAGGUUGUGCCCAUUCACGCUCUUGCCAUAGUCCGACGCCAGGAACACCGCCGCGUCGGCCACGUCUUCAUAUUUCACCACCCGUUUGGUCAUGUAGUUCCCGAUCAUAUGAAGCCGCUGCUGGACAUCUGCGGUGGGGAAGAUUUUCUCCAGCAAGAGCGGAUCCAAGCUUCUGGACUCGACGCGAUGCGGCGAGAUGGCGUUCACCCGCACGCCGUCGUUCGCCAGCUCGGCCGCCGCGGCGCGAACCAGCCCCAUCACCGCGGCCUUGGAGAUGCUAUACGCCGAAGGCACCGCGUCGCCGAGCAAGCCCAUGGUGCUGCCCGUGCAGAGGAUGCAUCCGCUCUUGUUCUUGCGCAUCACGUCGCCAGCUUGCCUGAUGCUCUCUAGGACGGACUUGACGUUGAUGCUCAUGGCCUUGUCCAAGUCUGUGAUGCUGCGAGCGGAGAACACACCGUCGUGGAACCCCGCGUUGUUGUAGAAGAUGUCAGGGUCCUUAUUAUUAAAGCUUGUGUUCGCCUUAUCAAUCACUUUGGUAAUAUCCGACGCGACGGUGACGUCGCAUUUCAUUGCUUCAGCCACUCCAGCUUUGCUACUGUUGAGAAUCGAUGCUAGUUGUUGGCAGUCGGCGACAUUGAUGUCGGCGAGAACGACGCUGGCGCCAUGGGCGACGAACCUUGUGGCAAUCGCCUUGCCGAUGUUACUGGCGGCGCCCGUGAUGAUGGCCACCUUUCCAGAAAGCAGCCUGCGAGUCCGCCACAGCCCAUGAUCCGCAUUAACUUGUACUCAAUCAGUGCAUAUAUAGAGUAAAUUAAAAUUAGCAUAGGCAAUUUAGACCAGCUAUUUCUUAUUAUAUACAGCACUAUGGUACUGCUUCUAGAUACUUUUUUAUUAAUUUUUUGCUAGCCGUUGAUCUACGUAAGAUAAUAAAAACAUAAUUACAUUGGAUACGGGUCCACUGUUUUUAUACUUGGUCGCACCUAUUUAGUAGUCUUGAUAUUUUCUCUACGUACCUCUAGGCACUUUUUAUAUCUUUCAACAAUAUAAUUUCUUUGGAUGGAUGGCUAUCAUUUUUUCCAACCAUUACAAAAAUCAACUAGUAGUGUGAAAUAUUUGUAAAACAAAGUAGAAUUACUACUCGAUAUUCGGAUAUAAUUUGGAAUGCAUCCCCCCCCCCCCAAAUUUCUACCAAGCAGGCAGGUUGACUCAAAAUCUCGAACGUGGUUCAAAAGUGGAAUGUUCAGUUCAAAAUGUUCCUCAAUUUAUCUAUCAAUGUUAGAAAUAGGUGGUCCAAAUAGAUGGUGCAAAUGUAUAUAUGAUUUCGUUUAAAAAAAUGGAAAUAUAUGAAGGUAAAGUCUCAAGCUAGCGUACUGUGGCGUCGACAUAAUGGAAAAAAAGGUUUUCAACUCCGGAGAUGACGUUGGUCCAGCUUGCGGCCUCCUCCUUUGCUGCACUCACAACGAACACCAAGUAGCCAGCUUAGCUUGCUAUCACAAAUGGAAACCAUUUCGGUCUGUUACUACUAGGAAAAAAUGGUACCCCAGAGGAGCCAGAGCUGACCUGAUAAUGUCACCGAGAGAGCGCUCCUGCUGCUUCUGCAAAGCUGAUUGAGUUGGGGUUUCCCCAGCCAUCGUGGUCGUCUUAAAUAGAAGUUUCUGCCCUCUCUGCAUCGCAGGGAUCCAAUGAACAAGAACAGAAAAUAUAUGUCAACCAAACAGGAUCUGCACGUGCCAUUUCUGUUUUCUGAGAUUCGAUCUUCAAAGGCAUCAACUGGUGGCUCUCAUUUCUUACAUUAAUUCAGACUUCAGCAAGUCUUCCCUUUAUACUUACUGACCUCCUCAUCCAAGUCUUCUCUUGGGAUCGACGCGGCGCGUUUCGUGGUACGAUCUGGAUCAAACCACAUGCAAUGUCUGCAUUUCAUCACGGAUCAUGCAUUGCUCGUGCAUUUCAUCAGAACACCAUUACAUGCUUUGGUUACACAUAUAUAUACUAAACAUGAAGUUUAGCAAGACGCAAAGAAAGAAAGUGAAAUGAACUACCUAGUCUUUCAUAUAUCAUACUGCUGACAGCUGACGUAGUUAGUAGUGACUCAUGAUGAUGACCUCAGCUGCAUCUCGUGGUAUAGUACCCUCUAGAUGUUAGAAUUCUAGAUGAAAUCACGCUUUAUCUGCAUGAUGCUUGACAGUAUCAGGCACACGGAACUCUCAAGUUUCAUGGUAGUGUAGCAACUACGGGUCGGAGAUUAACAUUUAAUUUUCUCAUAAAUAAAUGGAAGAUUUUUGUUUCAGUUUUUAGUGAGAGGUGUGUUUGUGCUUUCGUGCCCAAACACCCGUUCCGGCGUCCGGCGAGGGACACCGAGUCACCGAGAGGGAGAGUAGUAGGGACGGAGGCUUGCGAUGGUCGUCAGACGGCAGCGACUCUCCCCAGCGGGCCACGGGAUUGGGUGACGCAGAGAGGAGCCGACGUCUCGGCAGAGCUUUGUGCGCGCGACAUGCCGGCCGUCACGCUCCCGCCGCGCCCAGCACCACGUCGUACGUGGUCGUCGGCCCCUUCUCCUCCGGCUAUCGCAACUCAAACAGCACGCCCAGCAACGAUUAAAUUCAAGUGUUGAAAAACCAAGGACCAGAUCUGCCGGGUAAAAACCACAGGAUAACAGCAAGUGUUGAGCUGUCUCUUGUGCCUGGUCACAUAGUGGGCAGGCGGCUGGAUGCUGCAGUCCCCUUUGAGAAAGACGAUCAGCCGUCCAUAGUCUAUGUUUGAUAGCCAACCAGACAAAAACUUGAAGCGUAAAGGAGCCAAGCUUUUCCAAAUUCUUUUCCUGGGGACAAAUUUGGCAGAGCCAACGAAGAAGGCUUGAUAAGAAGACUUACUACCUAUAAGAGACAGAUUGUGUCAGCUUCCAUCGGUGAUCUGGGAUGUUUCCAUUUGAUCCCGUAGCAGUAGGUACUCCAUCAGGACCUCAACUGAUAAGGCUCCUAUGAUGUCAGUCACCCAACUCCUAUUAAAUAGAGGUUGAGCUACUGUCCUAGAUUUCACCAUUCUUUCUGGUGUUGUUUGGAGAAGCUUGGGAGCUACCUCAGCCAUAGUCUUCCCAUUCAUCCAUCAAUCAGACCAGAAAAAAAUAGAUUCUCCAUUUCCAACCACUGAAUCCACUGCCAUAUCAAACAUUGCUUGAGAUUUUCGAGGUACGUGAAUUUGGAGACCAGCCCAAGGCCUGCAGGGGUCUGUAUUUUGAGCCCAUAGCCAUCUGAUCCGUAAAGCCCAGACAAAGCACUCAAUAUUAUGUAUGAACAAGAAAUUCAAUAGAGGCAGUAGCUUUUCAGAGAGGCUCGUUUCUUCGAUUUCUUAGAGUUGACAAGUUUUAUGACAUUCAGGGCAGUAUAUAUGUGUAGUAAGAGAGAUGGAACGGUAGUAUGCGUAUGCUAUUUGAAUUCCGUCAAAUAUGUUUUUCAUUGCACGUAUGUUGUUAAACUUUGUGACAACAUCGAUUGUUCUUUGCCACAGUUGGACAAUAUGGAAUAAAUGCUAAAACAGGCAACCAAACAAAAGCAUUUUACAGCUCAAAAGAAUGGGAUGCCCCUUGUUUUUUAUUUACAGAGAGGUGCCUAGCUAGUGCAUCGAUCAUCUUUGUUCCAAGUGUGAUGGUUACGUGGUGUAAAUGGGAAUGUCUCUCUUUCUUUAUUCCAAAUCAUCCUUUUGGGUCAUGUUUGUUCCAGCCGCACACUGCACGUCAAUACGUGCAUGUGAGCGUCCUGCAACCAGCAAAGCAUAUACAAUACGUGCAUGUGAGCGUCCCUUUUCUUUGACUGAAUUGUGAAAAAGGAUGACUUGGAUUGCUCAGUCAGCAAAGCAUAUACAAUACCUGCAUACAAUAUGCUCGCUCACACGUUCCAUUCCAUUCCAUCGUUUAGCUCGCAAUCUCGCAAUAAUACACACUAUACUCCGCUCAAUUAUACACCCUGUCGUGCCGCGCCGCUUGCUGCUACCCAAGCCAAGAUGGAUAUGGUAGGUGGCAGCGCCCAGAGCGCCGUGGACUCGCUCCUCGGCCGGCUCUCGUCGGUGUUCGUGGAGGAGGCGCAGCUGCUGCGCGGCGUGCAUGACGACAUGCAGUUCAUCAAGCGCGAGAUGGAGAGCAUGAACGGCUUCCUCCUGGACGCCGGUGACGAAGACCGCGGCAACGGCAACCAGGUCCGGGUGUGGAGGAGGCAGGUCCACGAGCUCGCCUACGACUCCCAGAGCUGCGUUGACCGCUACGUCCAGACCUUUGGCGCCACCCACCCGGCUGUGGGGGCGGGGCUUCUCGCCUCCUUCCGCAGGGUGCCGGUGCUGGUGCGGACCCUACCUAGCCGCCACCGCAUCGCGACGGAGAUCCGGGGGCUCAAGGCCCGGGCACUCGAGGUCGGCGAGCGGCGCCUGAGGUACGGCGUCGUCACGCCAGCCACACCCGGCGUGCAGGGGGGCGGCAUCAGCACGCUGGCGGCUCGCCGUGCGGCGAUCGCCAAUCGAGAGGCGGAGGACGCACGGAGGCGCCACGCCCUGCACAGUGCCGAUGUUCUGUUCGACGCCAACGCGCGCGCCAGGGAGCUGGUCGCGUGGCUGAUGGGCGCGCCACAACCAGUGCCACGUGGCAGGCUCCGGCGGAACCAGCUCGUGACCGCCGGCCAGCUGAUAAAGAAGAUGUGGAGCGGCGGUGGUGGGCCCAACGAUCGUCAAGACCUGACGAUGGAGCUUAUAAAGCUCUUCCGGGGCCUGGAUGACAACGACAAUCCGGAGAACGUUGCCGAGGCUGCUGGCUACUUGAGUUCAACCAUGCUUGAGGUGGACACGCAGGAGGUGAAGGUGCUAUCAAGCUGGCUGCUGGACAAGGUCUUAGGCCGUGCUGACCUGCCACAGCAGGAUCCGGAAAAUAAGGGUGAAGCUGCAGGAAGCGAACUGUUCAUGGAUAUGUUGAAGGCGGUGAAAGAUCCAAUGGCCAAGUUCAUAGGCCAUGCUGAGAAUUUGAAAACCAGUUAUAAUAUGAUCGGUGUGUUGUCAAAUAUGAUGGAGGACCUGAUUGAAGUGUUCAAGGCGCUGAAAGAGCCAAUUGAGAGGUUCUUGGGCCUCGCUGACCAGCCACCGCAGGAUUCAUCAUCCUCCAAGGACGGCUCGCCGCAUCAACGACCUGCUGCAACUGCAAAUGAGGACCUGCUUGAGAUGGUCAAGGCCGCUAAAGAGCCGAUGGAGGUAGCCAGGGCGGAGGCAAGAUACGUGGCAGCGCAAGUCAAGUGGCUGCUAAAAAUGUUCUUCAGCGAGAAGUUUUCAUUCAAUCAAGAACAUGUACAGCACCCCAAAGUUGUCACCAUUGUGACACCACCAGUUCGGGACUUGAGCAACGAUGAUGGGCCAGAGGAACUACUUGAAGAGACUCAUGCGACGGAGCUCGCAAGGAAGGUCUUCGACCAUCCAAGAGCAAGUGACCAUUUCAACACCAAGGUGUGGGUCGAUGCCAAACAUAAGUCGAAGCUCAAGCCAAGGCUCAUGUCCAUUCUCCACCAAGUACUGUCGCCCUCUAGUACCGCUUCCAGCGAUGACAAUCUGGAGCCCACCAAGGACGAGGCCAGCCAAUGGAACAAUUUGAGCGAGGAGGAGCUCAAGACCAGGAUCGCGGAGCACCUCAAGGGCAAAAGGUUCUUGAUGGUACUCGCCGAUCCUGAGGAUGAAAACUCAUGGCAGGACAUAACCUCUGCACUGCCCGACCAUGGUGACAGUGCUGUCAUCGAGACUCCAAGGAUUAGGUACAUGGCUCAGUUUCAUGCAUGGUACAAGGCCAGCUGGAUCUUCUUGCUCAUGGGCGCCUCCUCCCGCUACCAAGUGCAUUUCUGUUCCAACCUUGUUGGCAUACGCAAGGUAGCAGCUGAGUUGGUUGGCGGUGAUCAACUACCAGGCGGUAUCAGUGCAAUCCUCAAGAAAUGUCUAUGGGACUCCUUUGCCACCAAGAUGUUCCUCCAUGCCCUGUAUGCUAAUCCCCAUAUAAGCGAUGCAGAACUGGAAAGGUUGAUGCUUGGCCUGAGGUACUCUAGCAGCGUCUGUUAGUGCCUAGCCUAGGAUCACUAGAGCACAUCUAGUCGGGUUCGAGAGAGACAUAGGAGCAAGGUGUUCCUGGUGAGUGCCUAGUGUGAGUGAGAGGGAAAUAGGUUUACCUUCACCCCUAGAGGUGGGAGCAGCAGAGCUGCUGGCCAUCGCGGGUUCUGUUGACGGAGUCUGCGCAAGGCAGCGACGCGCAGUGCCGAGCUUGGUCGCCAGCGAAGUGGCGGUACUUCCCGCCGCUACUGCGCAACCUAGAUCGGUAGGUGUGUCGGUGGGGGCGGCUGGCUUCGGCGAACCUCGUGAGCCGAGCCGGGUCCCCCCACCCUGUUUAUAUAGCGCAGCGCGACAGGGGCCCACCACCCAUUGAUAGGGUGAGCGCCCCCGAUCAGGGCGCAGAUCAAGGUCCUGAUUGGCCUUUGGGCCAAUCGGGAAAGAGAUCAAUCUAACAUUCUCCCCCUUGAUCUCAUCAUUUACUUUUAGCUUUGCACUUUUCACUUUUAUUCGUUUCAUCAUAGAUUAAUAUGUAGAGCAUGUUUCAUCGUCACAGCUUGAUUGCCGAUAGAAUCAACAGCUACAACACACCUCUCUAUUUUGAAACAAUUCUGUUUCUUUUGGGCCUUAUCCAAUCCAGGAAUCAUAGGCUUUCCCUUAAACCCAUGCCGGCUAAGUGUUCCCUGAACACAUUGGGAGGUAAGCCUUUCAUAAGCGGAUCCGCAAGCAUAUCUUUUGUUCUUAUAUGCUCGAGACUUAUAGUGUGAUCCUGGAUUCUGUCUUUCACAACAUAAAACUUUAUCUCAAUGGCUUUGGAAGCAUUGCUUGAUUUGUUGUUGUGAGCAUAGAAUACUGCUGGUUCAUUGUCGCAGUACAUCUUUAGUGGUCUGUGAAUACAGUCAACCACUCUCAAUCCGGGUAUAAAUUUCUUUAGCCACAUUGCCUGCCCCGUGGCCUCAUGACAUGCUAUGAAUUCUGCGUGCAUCGUCGAUGACGCAGUUACUUUCUGUUUUGAGCUUUUCCAUGAGAUAGCUCCUCCUGCGAGAGUGAAUACAUAUCCAGACGUGGAUUUUCUAUCAUCUUUGUCUCCCGCAAAGUCUGCAUCUGAAUACCCUUUUAUCUCUAGGGAAUCAGAUCUCUUAUAUGUAAGCAUGAGUUCUUUUGUGCCUUGCGCGUAGCGCAACGCCUUCUUUACCAUUUUCCAGUGUUCUAUACCUGGAUUACUUUGAUAUCUACCGAGAACCCCGGUGACAAAAGCUAAGUCAGGGCGAGUGCACACUUGGGCAUACUGUAAGCUUCCGACAGCUGAAGCAUAUGGAACCGCUUUCAUUUGAUCGAUCUCAUACUGGUUCCUGGGACAUUGAAAAUUCUCAAAACUAUCGCCCUUGACUAUAGGAGCAGGUGUGGCCUUACUCGCAUGCAUAUUGUACUUCUUUAGAACCUUUUCUAAAUAUGCCUUUUGCGAUAACCCUAGGACCCCAUUCAAUCUAUCUCGGUGAAUUUCUAUGCCUAAAACAUAUGUUGCUUCACCAAGAUCCUUCAUAUCGAAGUUUGAGGACAAGAACUUCUUUGUCUCUUGUAGUAGACUGAUAUCACUGCUUGCAAGCAAAAUAUCAUCCACAUACAGAAUUAGGAAAAUGUAUUUCCCAUUUUUGAACUUUGCAUAGACACAAUUGUCCUCUAUAUUCUCUUGAAACCCAAAUUUCUUUAUUAUAUCAUUAAACUUUAGAUACCACUGUCUAGAGGCUUGCUUUAAUCCGUAAAUGGAUUUCUUUAGACGACAUCCCAUAUUCUCUUUGUCUUCCAUGACAAAACCCUUUGGUUGUUUCAUGUAGACAUUUUCUUCUAAAUCCCCAUUUAGAAAUGCCGUCUUUACAUCCAUCUGAUGUAACUCUAAAUCAAAAUGUGCAACUAGUGCCAUUAUGAUUCUGAAGGAGUCUUUACAUGAGACAGGAGAAAAAGUCUCAUUAUAAUCUAUUCCUUCUCUCUGUGUAAAACCUUUUGCCACAAGUCUCGCCUUAUACCUUUCUAUAUUCCCUUUGGAGUCACGUUUAGUCUUGUAGACCCAUUUACAGCCUACUGUUUUGGCUCCUUUAGGAAUCUCCUCAAGUUCCCAAACAUUGUUGGAACUCAUCGAUUUCAUCUCAUCUUCCAUGGCCUCUAGCCACUUCGAUGAGUGAACACUUUUCAUAGCUUCUUCAUAUGAAGUGGGAUCACCUUCUAUAUGAACUUCUUCUGUAUUAUAAACUUUAUAACAAUCAGGGAUAGCUGAUUUUCUGACCCUUUAAGACCUUCUAGGCCCCUCACUUUCAGGCAUAUUUUGUGCCUCUGCUUGUGGCACACUAUUCUGAGGUGGCUGCUGCAACUCUUCCUCGUGUGCAAUGAUGGGUUCAGUUGGCUCCUGAAGGACAGGUUCCAAAACUUCACUCAUCAUUUCCACGGGUGGAAUCACAGCGGGUGCCUGCACCACAAUAUCAGGGACUGUAGCAGGUGCUUGCACCACGACCUCAGGAACUAUCGGUGCGGGAAUAAUAGGUAGUGAGAAGUAUGGUUCCUGAAUCAUCGGAUUAGGUGCGCACACCCGCUUCUCCUCAAGAUCAAUCUCUCGAGCUACCAUGCUCCCCCUCACCAUCUCAUCCUCUAAGAAAAUCGCCUGUCUCGUUUCUACAAACUUUGUGAAUCUGUCUGGACAGUAGAAACGAAAACCCUUUGAUUUUUCCGGGUAGCCAAUGAAGUGGCAACUUACUGUUUUGGGAUCUAGUUUCCCGAUGUUUGGGUUAAACACUUUGGCCUCAGCUGGGCUCCCCCACACACGCAGAUGGUUUAGUGAGGGUACUCUUCCUGUCCAUAGUUCGUACGGUGUUUUGGGCACCGACUUACUUGGUACUCUAUUUAGAAUGUGAAUGGCGGUCUUCAACGCCUCCAUCCACAGUCCCAAUGGUAAGGUGGAAUAGCUCAUCAUGCUGCGCACCAUGUCCAUCAGUGUACGGUUACGCCUUUCAGCUACUCCAUUUUGCUGAGGUUCGCCCGGCAUUGAAUACUGGGCUACUAUGCCAUUUUCCUGCAAAAACCUUGCAAAAGGUCCAGGAACUUGGCCGAAUGGGGUAUGCCGACCAUAGUACUCCCCCCCACGGUCGGAUCUUACUAUUUUGAUUCUUUUGUUAUGCUGAUUUUCAACUUCAGCUUUAAAUAUCUUAAAUUUAUCCAACGCUUCUGAUCUUUCUUUUAUUGGAUAAAUAUAACCGUAACGGGAGUAAUCAUCUGUGAAUGUUAUGAACAAGUCAUAGCCAUCCACACUUUUCACAGGAAAAGGUCCACAAAUAUCAGUGUGGAUUAUCUCUAAAAUUCCUGUGCUACGUUUAGCGCCUUUUUUAAUUUGCUUUACAAAUUUUCCUUUAAUGCAAUCAACGCAUUGUUCUAAGUCUGAGAACUCUAAUUGAGGAAGAAUUUCAUUCUUAACUAGUCUUUCUAUUCUCCCCCUCGAAAUAUGGCCUAAACGACAGUGCCAUAAUUUCGACGAUAUUUCAUGAGUUCUCUUUCUUUUCUUUGUUUCUUUCUCUGACGAGGAUACAUUCAUAUUCACAUCACACACAGAAUUAACUUUUUCACGCAAUGUGAAGGAUGGCAACACCAACACAUGCAUUAUCGAACCAAAUGGCACACUUUCCAUUACCAAAAUGACAUUCAUAACCAUCAUGGUCCAAACGUGAAAUACUUAUUAAGUUUCUGUGUAAUGAGGGAACAUAAAGAACAUCUUUAAGUACAAGCAUGAAACCAUCAACUAGCUCUAAAGAGACAUCGCCAACAGCUUCAACUUUUGCUUGGACUCCAUUUGCGACUUCAACGCAUCUUUCGCUUCUUUGCGUAGUCCUCGUCGAAUGGAAUCCCUGUAAAGAAUUUGCAACAUGAACCGUUGCACCUGAGUCAAUCCACCAAGUAGAUUUCGAAUACUGUGUAUACAAGGAUUCAUUUACAAAAGAAAUAGUAUUCUCACCUCUUUUUGCCAUUAUUGACUUUAACCAGUCGGGGCAGUCUUUCUUGAAGUGCCCCUUUUUCUUGCAAUGUAGACAUUGAUCUUUGUCUACUGGGAGAGGCUUUUGGUGAUUCUGUUGCAUAGGAGCUUUUCCACGUGCCUUGAAAGAGGGGUUAGCAAUCUUUUUCCUGUUAUCCUUCACAUAGUGUAAUGAGCCACCAUGUGAGGAUCUAAGUCUGUCCUCUUCCUGCACGCACAUGGCUAUCAUUUUCUCCAUGUCCCACUGUUCUGGCUGCAUGUUAUAAUUGACAACAAAAGUGUCAAACUCUUUAGGCAGAGAAGCAAAAACCAAAUGCAUAAUGUGCCCAGGCUUGAGCUCAAGAUCCAUAGGCUUCAGCUGUGCUGCCAAGUUAUACAUCCUCAUGAUGUGGUCUCUUAUGCCAGUCCCUCCGCCAUUGUACCUCUCUGUGGCCAGCUGCUUGAACAGCUGGGUAGCAUAUAUCUUUGAGGAACCAGUGAACUGAUUCCUUAUCUUGUCGAGGUACUCUGAAACGGAGUCACACUCUGCGAUCGAGCCCAAAAUGGCAGGCUCAAUCGUAUUCUUUACCAAAGCCAUACAUUUCUUGUUGGCAGUGGUCCACUGUUUGUUUUCAAGGGUGUAUGCCAACUCCAGUGGAGCAUAGUCCCUUUCCUUUUGCUGCCAUGCAGCAUCAUCAUCACCAUCAGCCCUCACUGGCUUCUGCGGAGCUUGUGGCUGCGGUGUGGUCAGCACCCAGUCAACUUCUCCACAAACGAAGGAGAACUCAAUCUUCUUCCUCCAUUCUGUGUAGUUGUUGCCUUUGAGAAUGGGUAUCUCUUUGAGACACGCCAUUAAGUUGAAUGAUCCUGAAAUUCACAAUCCAUAAGUGAGAUCAUAACGACAAUUGCAUGAUUUAUUUCCAACGUUGGUCAAAAAAUAAAACAUACAACUGCUGACGCAAUUUAAAAUUAUAUCACCGUUGGGCAGAAAUAGAAAUAAAAGCAUCAAAAGAACUUUUUAAAUCAUGAUGCAGUUAUUAACAACGUUGGUCAGAAAAUAACAGCACCAUGAUCUAAUUAACUUUAUCAUGCUCUCACAAAAUUUAAUUAUCUCGUUGGUUCAAAUUAAAUUUAAAUAGAGCAAUAAAUAUGACUUUUGCAGCGGAAACUGUGAAAUAAAUCUAUUUUCAGAAGCAAAACACUGUACAAAACUUUAUUAAUCUCUAAUACAAAUUAUCCCGUUGGUUCAAAUUAGAUUAGAGACUAAAACUAUGCAAAAAACAUCAAUUAAAUGCUUCUGGAAAUAGAAAAAACAAAAUAUCAGAAGUUACUGUGCAAAACGCGAAAACCGGCCCACGCGCGAAAACGGCCCACAGCCCGUUCCCGCGCGCGGCCUGCUCGCGCGACGCAGGCGGCCUGCUAAAACGGCCCACGAAAAUGGCCCGCUAAACCCGGCUCGUCGCCGGCCUAGCGCGCGGCGCGCGGCUGCAGGCCGCAACCUGGGCCUGGGCCGCGAAAGCGGCCUGCCGCCGCGUCCCGUCUGGGCCAAAAGUGGCCCGUUCAUCCUGAGCCGUCCGAUUUGAUCGGACGGUCCGGCGGCAAUUGCGGCCGAACAAAACGGCUGCCGCGGCCGGCUCCCCUAACCCUAGGCCAUUUCCUUCUUUCCCCCGCGCGGUCUCGCCGCGGCAGCCGCGGCGGCGGGGCUGUCUCUCCCGCGCCCGGCGAUGGCCGGCGGCGGUGGUGGAGGGAUGGCCCCGCCGGCGCACGGCUGCGGCAGCCCCCUCCUCCCCCCUUUUCUAGCCUUCCCCUUUCCUCCCUCCAAAAACCGAAGGUUCGAGAUCCAGAUGGAGAAAAGGGCCGGCGCCACCGCGGGUCCCCUCGCCGGCGAGCGCGUCCACCCCGAGGGUUGGGCGCGCCGCUGUCGAGCGGUCCUGUGGUGGUGCUUUUGCGCCCCCCGGGCCCCGAGCAGAUGCUCCGGCGGCUCGGGUGAGCCUUUUCUCCGGCGAGCCCGAGGCUCGGCCGGCCUUUGCCACUCGCCGGCGAUGGCCGGCGGCGGUGAAGGCGACAGCAGGUAAGUGGUCCCGCGUCUCCCUGUCUUUAGAUCUAGGGUUAGGGUUAGGGUUUUAUUUCUGUUGCUUUUCUUUCUUCUUCUUUUUCUCGAUCUGAGUCUUUUCCCGAUCUAGAGUAGCUUCUAGGAGGUGUCUGAUACCAUUGUUAGUGCCUAGCCUAGGAUCACUAGAGCACAUCUAGUCGGGUUCGAGAGAGACAUAGGAGCAAGGUGUUCCUGGUGAGUGCCUAGUGCGAGUGAGAGGGAAAUAGGUUUACCUUCACCCCUAGAGGUGGGAGCAGCAGAGCUGCUGGCCAUCGCGGGUUCUGUUGACGGAGUCUACGCAAGGCAGCGACGCGCAGUGCCGAGCUUGGUCGCCGGCGAAGUGGCGGUACUUCCCGCCGCUACUGCGCAACCUAGAUCGGUAGGUGUGUCGGUGGGGGCGGCUGGCUUUGGCGAACCUCGUGAGCCGAGCCGGGUCCCCCCACCCUGUUUAUAUAGCGCAGCGCGACAGGGGCCCACCACCCAUUGAUAGGGUGAGCGCCCCCGAUCAGGGCGCAGAUCAAGGUCCUGAUUGGCCUUUGGCCAAUCGGGAAAGAGAUCAAUCUAACAGCGUCAGCAAUGCCAGGCGCAUGGUACAGUUCUGUUACGAGGACCUACCCAGGCAAUACCAGAGCUGCCUCAUGAGCCUGUCUAUAUUUCCACAAGAAGGCAGAACAUUCAAGAGGACAAACCUAGUCAGGCGGUGGGCUGCCGAAAACUUUGUCAGUGCGAGGGAUGGGCUGGCUGCAGUGGAUGAAGCUAACCGCUGCUUCGAUGCUCUCAUUGCUCGAGGCCUCCUUCAACCAGCCGACAUUGGCCCAGCAGGCAAAGUCAGGAGCUGCACCCUGCAUCGUCAUGUCCACUCGUUCAUCACAAAAAUGGCCAGCUAUCAGACUGUUACCGACAAUACGGAUCUUCGAUCUGAACUGGCUCACCGACUUUCCACUCGCAGUGGAAUUCUUCAAUUACUAGUGGAGAAUCAGGCUGCUGCAAAUUCCAACACCUGCUGGGGAAUAAUCCAUAGGCACCGCCACACUCCUUCAGGAGACUUGACUCAUGAAGUGGUAACUUUGCUAAACUUGUUGCCUGCAUCUUCUGAUCAGCUAGGAUUGGUCAAAUUGCUAGAUCUAGAAGGCUGCAAAGGUUUGAAGAAGCGACACCUCAAGAAGAUUUGCAACAAGAUUUUCCAGCUCAAGUAUCUGAGUCUAAGGGACACGGACGCUACUGAGCUGCCAAAGGAAAUCAACAAGCUCCGGUACUUGGAGACACUUGACAUCAGGCAAACCAAAAUAAAGUCAUUCCCUGCAAACACCAUUGCCCUCCCAAAGUUGAUGCAUCUCCUUGCUGGUUGCAUAGAUCAUGAGAGCACACAAGUCAUUGAAUCAGACGGACGGUUUUCCACGGUGCAUCUGCCAAGUCAUGUUGGGAGUUUGACAAACAUGCAGGUGCUUUCCCAUGUUGAGGUCUCUGAGACCGAGAGUGACACAUCAGAGUUGACAGAUGUUGGCCGGAAGCUGCACUUGAGGAAACUGGGUGUGGUUAUCCGUGGCAAGGAUCCUCGCGGUGUUUUGCUUCGGGUCAUCGGGAUGCUGCAUGAAAGCCUAUGCUCAUUGUCAGUCCAUCUUGAACCAGUGAAGGCUGAGGGUGAAGUUUACUCCAUGGAACCACAGGCUCAUGGUGGCGAUGCUUUUGACAUACCCAAAUCUCUUGAAAGCCUGAACAUCAAGGGCGUGAUAAGUGAGCUGCCCACUUGGAUCGGACAGCUUCAUCGACUUUCCAAGAUAACCUUAUGCCGUACCAGCUUGAGAGAAGGAGAUAUACAGAAGUUGAGUGAGCUUGCCAACUUGCGCUGCGUCAGGCUCUGGCAUCAGUCGUAUACCAAUAAGAAGCUUACCUUCAAUACGAGAGAAUUCAGAAAGCUAGAGCUUCUUGUCGUUGAGGACUCAGGCAUAUCUGACAUCCACUUUGCUAACAAUGCAGCUCCUAUGCUCAAGAAGAUAGUUUGGAACUUCACCGGUGCGGAAGUUACUCUGUCAGGUAUCCAAGAGCUUCUAAACCUGAAAGAGGUUCAUGUCGGUGGCAAAUGUGACGAGAGUCAUCUCAGUAAGAUUAAACAAGACAUCAAAAAGAACCCGAACCUCCCUGAUCUUUAUCCACCAAUCCAUAAUAACCCCAAUGCAGCUUCGGCUAUUAUUGCUGCCACCUCCACCGCUGCUACUGGUGCUGCCGCUGCAGCUUCAAGCAACGCCUCUGUUCCGAAGUAGAGACUAUACUUGGUGAUUUGUUGUGUGCUCUGCUCUUAUCUUCUCUGAAGGUGUGCCACAGUGUGUGCGUGGAGGUUAUUUACAUUAUGCCGGUGUGUUUGAGUGUGCAGUAACUGUGUGGCUGUUUAUUCUACUUUGGGGCAUUUAUGGUUAGUAUCAAGCUCAUGAGAGUUGGAUUUGUGUGACCUUUGGAGUGUUAUGGUUUCAUAGGCUUAAUGGAGCUCAAAUUCCCACGUAAACACCUUUUAUCAUGGACAGAUUUCUAAAACAGUUUCUCUUAUGGAAAAUAGGCCAUGUAAAACCUGGAUAUGGAGAUUGAAAAACCAAUAUAUACAAGAUAUUUCCUUUCCUGUGUCUAUGCAUUGCUGGAAAGUUGAAGGGGUAUCGACAAAAUUAAUUAGGGAAUACGAAUAAUGUAUGAUAGGAUAUUGGUAACCUAGCAAGUGGAGGCGCAAGUUAGCUGGAUCAUCAAGCAGGUCGUGGGAGCCUUUGGGGAGCAAGUUGGGCAUUGCUUCCCAAUCAAAUCAUUCAUGGCAUCUAGCUGUUCAAAUUGUUGGUCUGCAUGGUGAGACAUAUCGCAAGAAUGUGGCGAGACGAGUUGCAGGUUCAGCGGCAUGCAUCGAAUAGAUCCUGUAACCAAUGAGUGACAGAGGAUGAAAUAAAAUUAAGGUAUGGCGAAGCCAAUUAGCAAAAGUCGAGUUGAGGAAAUCAUAGAAGGAAACCAAAGAUGAAUAUUUUACGUCCAAUGUACCAUGUAUAUAUCGCAAAUUGCAAUAAGUACCUAUUGACGUUAAAAUCGGAACAACACACGAACGCACUCGAAUGUGCGGCGUGCGGAGAGGCUCCUUGCAGCUCCUCUGUGUGGGCUAGUCAGACCCGUGAGGAUGGCCGGUCAGACCAGUCUCGUCGGGGCUCCUAGCGAGAGGCCAACAAGCACCCUCCCAGGAGGGACCCUGUCAGCCGUCGAAGCAGGCGCACCUUGGGUUGCUCUAGGCUCGGCAGGCCAGCUAGGACGCUUCCUCAUGCUAUGGAGAUAGGAGAAGACCAUCACAUGGGGUUGGGAAAGUAGGGUAACGAGGAAGAAAGGUAAAAUGAUAAAGAUAGAUUGGUUUUGAUCGAUUGUGAUGUUCUCAAUCGGUUGUGGCCCUUUAUAUUUAUAGGGAGGGAAGGUCUUGCCCUGUUGGAGUCGAAACCAUAAUAAAUCUCAUAAUAAAAUACAACUCCUAGUUGGAUUACAUAGCCCAAAAUCAGUCUAACCGGAUUGGGGAACCGGUAUGACCGGUCUGCCUAGGGUGCAGAUCUUUCCAAGGUCGUAACUCUCUCAUCCAAAUUCCAAAUCGGACGUUAUACAUAUGAAUCUUGAUCUACUCGACAAGAGCUACACAAUGGUGAAGUCCAAUUUGCAUUUUGAAAACUCCAAAACCGGUCUGACCAGAUCUGUCCAAAUCUACCAAUUUUAAGUUCGAACGGUACCUUCAUUUUAUCAUUGGUCUUAACCUUUCUCUUUCUAUCUAUCAUCACUUCACUAUCUCAAAAAGAUGCAAUCGCUAGCUGGCUGCACACGUUUUACGUGAUCACCGAGGUGCAGCCUCGUUACUAUCGUGCUUAUGUACGUCACUCCUCCCUCGGAAAAUCUUGAAUGGGUUCAGUCAUUCAGGUAAACUCAUAACCAAGACACAACACCGAACAAUCCUAAAUUAACCAACCGCGGAAAUAAAGGUUGACCAACAUUUCUCGAAAAAAGUUGAACCAACAUUUCUUUGAAAAAGUUGAACUAAUAUUUCUUUAGAAAAAGUUGAAUCCAAUAUUUUUUUAAAAAGUUGGACCAACAUUAUUCAGAAAUAAUUGAUGCAACAUAUUUUUUAUUUUCCGGCUUCUCCUCCGGCUCUGGCAGCCGGCCUCUGAGGCACACCGCCGCAGGGAGGCGCGAGGCAGCCGUGGCGGCUCGGGCAGGAGAGGGCCGCUGGCGGGGCAGCUGUAUGUGGAGGCUGCGCGGGGCGGUGAGCCGGCCGCGGGGGUGGCCGCGGCAGCGACGCAGGCCCGUGUGGGGGCGGCAGCGUGGGCACAGGAGGAAGACAGCAAGGGAGGGAGGGUGUGGGCUAGGGUUUGGCUAUCGUUAUUUUUUUCAAAAUACAAACGCAAAUGUUCAUGUAUACAAACAUAUACACGCUCGUUUAUAUUUACAUAAAAGACACAUCCGAACUAAAUGAGCACUGGUGAAAGAUUAUGCUAAACAGCUAAAACACUACCCUUGCGAGCUUCUUCGAUGGAUGUUAAAAUUGAUGAAAGUCACCGUCCAUAUCAGGAUUGCACACGAGACUAUCCAAACUUCAUCAGCUCUCUUUGGUACUGAAGCCUGCAUCGCAGUUCAAAUUUGAAUAGUACAUUAAUGCUGCUAGUGAAGCGUCAGGCACGAUUACUAACCAGUGUGCAAGAACGGACGGUGGGGAAAUUAUCUUUGGUACUAGUUCUGUAGUCCAGCCUCUUUGUCUUGGGAGCUCAAUCUGAUCAACACUAUGUGCAGAAUUUGAAGACUGAUCAAGACUAAGUUUUGCUCUCGAUAAGGCAGUACGUCGAGAAAAAAAUUCAAAUUCUACUUUUUUUUAACGAACCAGACAGAAGAGCUGCUGAUUAUAUUAAACAGAGUAAAAUGCACGAGCAGUCCCUAAACUUAUGCGAGUGUGUCAUCUAGGUCCCCAAACUUCUAAAACGCAGAUUGAAGUCCCAAAUUCGCUAAUUGUCCCAUAUAGGUCCAAAGUUUUAGAACUUCCAUUAAUACGCCUACAUGGUAUCCUGACUUCGUGAUGACGUGGAUCCACACGUGGGGCCUGCUCGUCAACCUGCCACCACUAUUGGCACCAAAACAAAGGGAUUUUUAAAGAUCCAUAGUCCAGUUCCCACAUCUCCUCAAUGACACCAUAGUAUCUAUCUUUUUUCCAUUGUGGUCUAUUGUAUGUAUACGGACACCACUAUUUUAGUUUAUGCUCUUUUGGUCUUGGGCUCUUAUGUAAAAUGUGUACCCUUUUAUCUCGUAUCCUUUCGAAUGUCGAUACUGAGAUGAUGAACCCCUAGCCAACGAUGCUAGUUGUUCUUCAAUCGUGUCAUCACCUAUCAGUCGUCACUGCAACCAAGAGGCGAAAGUGUCAAUGUGAUGAUGCGUAAUACAGGCCUCAGUCUUCCAUUGGUUUGAGGACCGUACAAUAGCUUUGUGCUCUUCCAUAUAUGGAGCUACCAGGGAUGUUGGUUGCAUAACCGUGAAGUGUGCUUAUGCCAUGUGCUCUCAUCGAUGUCCAUCUGACCUUUCCUCCCUAGUGUGCCUUUUCCCUUGAGUCUCCCAUCAUGGCGUGAUACAGGAACUCCAAUUGAACUCAGGUCAUCAAUAAAGUCAACACAAAACUCAAUAACCUCAUUUGUUCCAUAUCCCUUUGCGAUGCUUCCUUCUGGAUGGGCAUGAUUACGAACAUACUUCUUCAGAACAUAUUGUGUAGAAAUACAAGACCGAGAAUAAAAAUCUCUACAACAAGGUGGACUAGAAGGUGGAUCAUGAUAUUAAAGAAGGAAGGUGGAAGGACCAUAUCAAAGCUGACAAGGCAUUGCAUCAAAUCAUUCUACAGCUUUAGUAGAUUGUUUCGAUGGAUUGCCUUCUGAGAAAUCAUAUUGAGGAAUGCACAUAACUUCAUGAUUGCCAUUCUCACAUUCUCUGGUAGAAUACCCCUCACUGCAACAGGCAGCAAUUGUGUCAUCAAGACGUUGUAGACAUAAGCCUUUAGAUUUAUGAAUUUCUUCUUUUUAAUAUUUAUUAUUCCCUAUAUAUUCGAGGAGUAGCCCGAUGGGACCUUGAUACUAUUCAACCACUCAAACAUGAUUUCCUUAUCUUGCUUGUUGAGAGUGUAACUUGCAAAGUAAUGUCCUUCGUCUCUCUUUUCCGGAUGUAGGUCAUUUCAUUGUUUCAUACGUUUCAAGCCCCGACGUGCUUCAAUUGUAUCCUUUGCCUUUCCAUAUGUACCCAGAAAGCCAAGCAUGUUCACACAAAGAUUUUUCAUCAAGUGCAUCACAUCGAUUGCAUUAUGGACCUCAAGGCCGUCCCAAUUAGGUAGCUCCCAAAAUAUAGACUUAUUCUUCCACAUGGGUGCAUAUCCGUCCUCGUCAUUCGGAAAAAGUUGGCUACCAAAGUCCUUGCCAAAGACUACCCUCACAUCAUUUAUCAUAGAAAAUACGUGUUUACCAUUACAGUGAAUGGGCUUAGUACAUUUUUGUUUCUCUCGUUCAAAAUGCUUCCCUUUCUUUCUUAACGGGUGCGGAAGAAACCGAUGAUGGCCUAUAUACGUGACCUUCCAACAAUGUUUCAAAUACAUGCUGCAUGUAUCAUCUAAACAGUGCGUGCAGCCUCGAUAUCCCUUGUUUGUCUAUCCUAACAAAUUACCAAGCGCCGAUCAAUCAUUGAUGGUUAUGAACAGCAAUGCUCAUAGAUUAAUAGUCUCCCUUUUGUCCUCACGUACACCUUCUUUCCAUAACUGUAAAAAGUUCAUCAGUCUUAGGUAAACAUCAAUGUCAUUGCCAGGUUGUUUUGGACGUUGGAUAAUUAGCAGCAUCAUAAUGAACUUCCACUUCAUGCACAUGCAGGACGGAAGGUUGAACAUACAUAAGGUCACAUGCCAAGUGUUAUGAUCACUAUUGAACUCACUAAAUGGAUUGAAUCCAUCCAUACUUAAACCAAACCUUAUGUUCCUUGCAUCCUUUUUAAACUUAAUCAAUUCAUUGUCAACUGUUCUCCACUGGGACCCAUCAGUGGGGUGUCUGAUCAUUUCAUCUUGCUUACGUUCUUCUUUGUACCAACGCAUCAACUUUUUAUGUGCCUUAUUUCUGAACAAACACUUCAAGCUUGGUACUACAAGAACAUACCACAUUACCUUCGCACGAACCUUCUUCUUGCUUGGAUGCCCCUCAAUAUCACCGGGUCAUCUCGCCUGAUCUUAUAACGCAGCACUUCGCACACAGGACAAGCCUAUAAUUUCUCGUAAUCCUCACCACAAUACAGGAUACGGUCAUUAAGACAUGCAUGUGUCUUUUGUACCUCCAAACCCAGAGGGCAAACAACCUUUUUCGCUUCGUACGUUGAGGAUGGCAAUUUGUUCCCCUCGGGAAGCAUGUUCUUUAUGAUUUUCAUUAACUCAUCAAAACCCUUGUCAGAAACUCCAUUUUUUCCUUCCAUUGCAGCAUUUCCAGUGUGGUACCCAAUUUUUUGUGCCCCUGUUUGCAAUCUGGGUACAACAAUUUUUUAUGAUCAUCUAACAUACGCUCGAACUUCUUUGACUCCUUCACAUUCUCGCACAUUGUUCAACCAACCAAAGUACAAGCCUGCAAGGCACAAUUCUUUUUUUUAAACAGAAAUGUGUAACCCCUACCCUAUACUCAAAUAGCAGAACACUGUCAUUGUCGAUUUCGGCAAUCAAGAUAUCUCAAUUGUGUUAAGUUUGCUCUCUAAAACAACAGCCAAGUGAUGUGUACUACAAUGAAAAACAAUCACCAACCAAAUCUCAGAAACAAUAAGAUGUGUAUCGCAUAGAAAAAGUGUUAAGACUUGCAUUCAAUAGUCAUGAUAUUAUCACAUACUCAAGCUACAAUUCUGUGAUAUUCUGCGUAACUAGCAUCUUGCAAAUGCAAAACUAAGAGGUGCAUAAAAAGCUGAAGGGGCCAUGAACAAAGUGUUUCACCUCGACCAUCAUAGGCGUGAUGACUAGGAGGUUUGACAGGUUGCAGCCAAGGGCCAAAAGAAGGGAUCCAAGCUGGUAGCGCUCGAUGGUCGAUGCCGUCUUCCAGGGGUGCAGGUACGCGAACGCCGCCACGGAUACGGCCGAACAUGCUGAUAUCAACAUGAAGUACGCCGGGAACAUCUUCCCCAGCAGACUUCCAAACUGGUGCCUCGGUAAGUACCUUCAGAAUCAAAAAUAUUUUAUCAAAACAUUGUCAAAGUUUAGAAUAUGUUCCGAAUGGGAAUAUUGUCAAAGUUUAGAAUAUGUUCAUUAAAACAUUGUCAAAGUUUAGAAUAUUUCAUUAAAACAUAUUACUCCCAAUACGUAACCAACAAAGAGAGGAACAACCCUACUUGUUUGCAAAACUGCAGCAGUGGCUACCAGAAUAUUCAGAAUGUAUAAUGACAAAACGGUGACAGAAUUCAUCGCAGUAUCCAUGCAAGCUUGCAUUUCAUCCAAUGUUUCAUGGGAAAUCUAGCACCUAAGAGCGCUCUCCAUUUAGUGAAGAACUGCUUGAUUCCUCAGAAGUCAGAACUCUUCCCAAUUCAGUAUGCUGAAGAACUACUUUGAUUUCCUCUCAACUUGAAUAUGAAUAAUGCUAUUGAAUUUAACUAGGAAAUAUGAAUGCUGUUGAUAGCAGCACCUUGUUAGCAUGGAGGAGACCGCCAUGGCUGGAGGCCUGGAACUGGAAGCUAGAGACUAGAGAGUAGUUCAUCUCGCCGGAGACAACGAUGAAUUUGAGUCGCACACCCUGCGGCAUGGCCGGAUUGGCGGAUUGCCUCAUCGCAUCAGAGAAGGCAGGGAGGGUCGCACCGCCGGAGACGAUUGGAAUCGCGUCAAGAAGGAGGAGAUUCCCAUCGGAGAUCUGGAGGGCUACGCGCACCAGGAGAGGGAACGAAUCGCGUGGACAGUGCUAGAGUGCCGUGCUCGGCGACGGCGAGCAACGGGUGGAGCACGGUGAGGACGACGCGGGAGAGACAGAGGGGGACAGGGAGAUAGCGUACGAAGUGGCCGUGGGAGGGAGAGGAGGACGUCUCCCAAACGGAGCUAGCAACGAAGCGCGGCGGCGUCGCUCGCUUGAUUACCUGAACAUGAUGGUGCCGCCGAUGAAGGCGACCCAGAGGCCGGCACCCCAGGCGGUGGCGAAGGCGAGGAGGUGGACCAGCCUCGCCGCCGCCGGUGCUGCGCCGGAGCCGGAGCCGCCGAGGCGCAGCGCGUCGGGCGCGAAGAGGACCCCCGCGGCGAGGAACGUCACCGCCGUCAGGAACCGCGACGCCCACCCCAUCGCGAGGGCCUUUCUUGGCGCUCAGAACGGCGCGGCUGCUGCCUCGCCCUCGGGGAGGUCGUGGGGAGUGGGCGGCGAGGACUGGAGGGAGGUGUCGCGUGCUGAACUGGGCAGAGGAGCUCUGAGCUUGGAGUGCAAGCGAGGAGGUUGGAACGGCCGGAGCCUCUGUCGUUGACCUUCCAGAAGAAAUAUGGAACACGCUUGCUGGGAAAAAAAAGAAAAAAAUAUUCUGCGUCAAAUGCCACAUUGCGCCAUUGACACAUUGUCUAGGCCAGAUUUCUCUUGAAACUUCAGAGAGGAAGAAACAAAUCCAUGGGGCUUUCAACUUGAAGAAAUUCAGACAGAUUCUGUUGCAAGCUCAAGCUUUUCUACUAAUCUUUUUUUUGAAACUUUACCAAACAACUAAUCUGUGGACAGUGUUUCAAUCAGGAGCCUAGGAGGCCUGCAAGCACAGAAGUGUUAGGAACGGUCAGCCCAUUCUAUCGAGCAGCCCAGGUCACCGAAGCCCAGCCCAAGUAUCUUCGUUACAAAAGGAGCAGCAUAGCAGAAGGGGGAGGCAUCGAGGAAAUUACUAGAACUAGUCUAUCUCAUGUUCUUUCUUCCCCAUCUCUACUACUAUUUCCUUCCCGCAGCGCCUCGACCUUGGCUCUGGUGGCCGCCACCUCCCCGGCGAACCGCUCGGCCUCGAUCUCCCGGCACUCCCGCUUGGCCUCGAUGCGUGCAAGCUCCACCGGGACGUGCUCCUCGUUCGCCUCCGCCGCGGACCUCACCUCCAGCUGCAGCUUGCGAAGCACCUGCUUGGCACGGUCCAGCUCCCGCGCGCCACCUCCUCGGUACAAGAUGAAAUAAACUAUUUUUUAAAUAAAAGCGACUCGUGCAAGAGUCGGACACAAAUAAGCCUCCUAAUAACAAACCCUACAUUUAUUCUAUUUUGAAUAAGCCUUCUAAUAACGAACCCUACAUUUAUUCUAUUUUGACCAAGAUCUCCCUAUCUUCACUUGGUCACAGUUCCAUAACCGCUGACCGGCCAACACACACCCGCUCGCAUCGGCUGGACCCAUCUUGCCUUCCAUCAGCCGAUCCCUGCCUUCAUCGGAAAACCCUUAACAAUUCCAUUGGCCAAACCCUUAUAUCCUUGUUGGCCGACUCUGUUGACUUUUACUUCAUUUUGACAUCAAUCCUUGACGCAUGUCAAAAAAUGGUGUCAACAGGUUCCAAACUUUAUAUUUGGCCUUUUAAGUUUUCAUCGUUCAAAUCCACAACAUGCAUUUACGGAGAAACUAACACAACACUUUUAUUUGCCACAGCAUAAUAUUAUAUAUUAUUACAUGAGUGCUGGGAAGAAGGAUCGGAUCAUUAUUCUUUCAAGGAAUGCCACCAGGCAAAAGGAUCACUGUCUCGUGGUUGCAUUGGAGCGCUAGCAGUAGCAAUGAUCUCAAUUAGAGGCCGUUGCAAGGCGACGCGUAGCACCAGCAUUUAAAAUCUAUACAGAAGCCUUGGACGUUGUUGAUUUUUCCUUCUCCUACGCAUGCGAUAGUGCACAAGUUAUCCUCGAAGCACGGCCCUCUAUAAAGUCCGCUCUGGUAGUGUUCGCAAGCAUAGACCCCAGUAGACGCCCACUCUGUUAUAAAUAGAAUCAGGGCAAAGAAUUGAACGUCGUCAAUCAAAUAAUCAAACGAUUUUUCCUUCUAAUAGUAUUUACUAUGUGUAUAGUUAUGCAUCUAGAAAAGUUAAAAUGAUGUAUAAUUUGGAAUGGAUGGAACGUCGUCAUCUAGAAUAGGAGAUUAAUCAAACGACAUCGUGGAUGUGUGCACGCGUACGUACCGCCGGCGGCAGCCACGAUGACGAGCAGGAGGAGGGCAGCAGAGAGAUUCUUUCGUGAGGGCGCCAUUGCUUCCUUUGCAAUCACUUACAUGUCCAGGAGUGAGCAUAUAUACACACAAUCUUGAUGAAAAACAACCAUCACUACCAGACGGGCGGAUCCAUCGGAAUUGGCGAGAAUGCCGGCUGCUAUGGUACGGACGCACCUACCAUCCGUCAGCUGGUACGUCAUGAGUGUACCUGCUGACCUCAAUCUCUUUGUCCAGUUCCAUGAGUAAUCUCCAUGUCACCUCUCUAUGCCCAACGCACUUGAGCAUCUCCAUGUGUGCACUACAAACAAACUAGCUGCAUAAAAGUGUGAGACAAAGACGCAGACCAAGAACACAGCUAUCUGUGUGCUAAAGUCGAAGCAGAGCCUCAGUACUACAGAACACUAUAUCACCGCCGGCUCCAAAACCCCAGCACCGCCGGUUUUGAAAACCGUUGCCUGACAUUCAGCAGUGAUGGGGUAAGUCAUCACCGCCGGCGGCCCCAACACAACGCCUCGACCGCAUCGGGCGCUCCUGCCCCGUGACCUGCCGGCCACUCCUCUUCCCAACCGGGGGCCGCUCCUCCUCGCAAGAUCUCUGAGGCACCUCAGAGAUCCAGCGCGGAGCAGGAGCAUCUGGUCAGGACGAGAAGUGAUCGGCGGGUUGCGGGCCAGGGGAGGGGCCGUCAGCACGGAUGAGGUGUGGCGGCGGGGCGGCUGAGCGCCGCCGGCUUGAUGCGGCUGGGAGAGGGGUAGCAAAGGAAAGUCUCAAUGAAGCUGAAGUCCAAUCCCGGAGGUUGAGUGAUAAUUCGGCGGGGUCCUGCUGGCUCCGAGGGUGACGUUUCCUUGGGCGACCCCCAACACACGGCAUAUUCCGAGAAUGUAGUAGUUGUGUAAGGGUAAUUAGGGAAUGUAAAAUAGGUCCAAUGCUAGUAUAAAAGGGAAGCCCUACUCUGCUGUUAAGGGAUAUCAUUUUUUCAAUCAAGAAGAGAGAACAUUGUUUUAUUCGUAAUCCUCAUUCUGUUUGGUAUUGAAUUUGUUUGACGCCAAUAUAGGUGUCCACCGUAUUUUUAGCCACAAAACAAUCCAUGAUGCUGCAACCCAGCCCACACAAGAAGCUGAGGGUGAGGAAGAAAUUAAAACCCUGCGGCACAAGAAAAGAGACGAAGCUAACUUAGAACCAGAAGUGAACAAAGAAAAGCCGACGCACAGGCAGAAAACCAAGACCCACAAACAAGCACAAGGAAUGAUCGAUUAGGUGCCGCAGAAAAAGAACUGGAUUCAGUGCUAAAACAACUCGAUGCCCUGAAACAGGUAAAACAAAGAUUGUAUUUUUUUCGAAAUCCUCAUUCUAUUCGGCAUCAAAUUUGUUUGACGCCAAUAGAUGACUCCGUCCCAGUUGUUCUCGAACCAAGCACCUCGAAAAAUCACUGGUAGAGAACUCGGUAUUAGUCCCGGUUGGUAGGGUGCAAAUCUCCGGAAAAUCCAUCCAGGAUAAACCAGUCAGGAUAAAAGGGGGGGUCUUUUGUCCCGGGUCACUCACCACACGCGCACGUCGCAAGUCACAAGUCACUCACCACACGAUUUUUCACGCAAAAUAUGCGCGUGCGCGCUACGUGGGAUUCGAACCCAUGACCUCCAGCCUCGCGCGUAGCUUCCUUACCAUCCCACCUACACAGCACAUCUUACUAUAUAGGGGAAGCAAUCCUUUUGUAUUAACUCGUGGGGGACCUUUAUUAUCCCGGUUGAAAACACCAACCGGGACAAAAGACCCUCUUUUAUCCCAGUUGGUAUUACUAACCGGGAUAAAAGGUUUCGAGAGAUUUAGCCCUCCUUUAGCCACCCCGUUGGGGACCCUUUUAUCUGAGUUUGAAACACCAACCGGGAUAAAAGAUCCUCUUUUAUCCCGGUUAGUAUUACAAACUGGGAUAAAAGGGUCGAUAGGCUAUCGACCCUUUUAUCCCGGUUGGUAACACCAAUCGGGAUAAAAUGGGGGGUCUUUUAUCCCGGUUGGUGUUUCAAACCGGGAUAAAAGGCCUCUCGGGGUCUUUUUUUUCCACUAACCUUUGCAACCGGGAUAAAAGGUCCCGGUUGGUGAGCCCCCCGCCAGUGACCGAGCUUUAGUCCUGGUUGGUGAACCUUUUAUCCCGGGUCAACUUUAAACCGGGAUAAAAUGAGGCACAUGGAAGGUGAGUUCUCUACUAGUGAAUAAAAAUGGGACCGUCCCAUCCCGUCCCGUCCUCCCAUGCAAACACACCCUAGCUGUAUUGAUCAAUAUAGUAUUUAUAUAUGUACAACAUGGCAAGCCACUAACAGAAUUCCCUUGUGUGCGGGUGAGCGAGCUGUGUGGGCGCGUGGCGAGCGACGGAGUCGCAGACGACGCCAGGCGCAGGAUGCGUUCCACGCCAUUGCUGGAGCUGAUCAUGAACCGGUCUUCAACAGUUUCUCCCAAGAUAUUUGAAUUCGCGCUAUUUUUCACUACUAUAUAAAUUGCCUCUAGUACCGGUCAGUAACCCCUCUCUAGUACCGGUUAUGCAACCUGUACUGGCAAUCGGGUAGAGGGGGCUCCUUUAGUACGGGCUGAAAUAAUCGGUACUAAAAAGUCCCACGCCGUGCAGAGAGGAGCCCUCUUUAGUACUGGUUGGUAUCCCCAACCAGUACUAAUUGUUUUUUGUUUCUUUUCUUAUUUCUACUUCUUUAUUUUAUAUUCAUAUUUUGUAUUUGUUUCCUUUACGUAUACUAGUUCUAAUAUGCUAAUAUAUGCAAAGUUCUGUAUAUCUAUAUAAUAUUACAUUUGAGAUCUUAGCAAGAACCACUUCUGAUAAUAACUCAAAUACACAAGAAAAGUAAUUACAUACUUAAAUUGAUACAUCACUACUUGUCUUAGAGAGAAGUUCAAAUACAUAAGACAAAUGUUACAUCCAUGCAUACUACGGUCUUAACCCGGAUACCUUUUAAAGAUAUGAAACGUAAUUCAUAUUUGCAAUCUUAAAGUCCAGAUGGUCAUCAAUAUAAGUUAGAGUAUGAACUAGUGCACUCUCUAGCGAUUCAGAAUAAUAUAAAUUUGGAGACCCAUAAAUCUCAAACAAUGGUGGGUUCGUCGUCGCUUGAGAUGCAUUUUUGAAAGAGAUCUUAGCCUGUAGCCUGAAAUCUCUAGUGCGCGUCGGGUAUCGAACGCUGUAAAUUUAUCCCAAGCUUUCCAUGACUGGCUCCAGAAUCGCUUCAAAGCUUAUUGCCGCCCAGGUUUGGCCAUAUCCUAAAAACAGAGAAUAACAUGAUUAUGAAUUUUGAAAGAUAUAACGUAAUUAAAGAAAAAAUGAUGGUUAUAUCCAUACCUUGUCAUAUCGACUCAGAGGACAAAGCCUCUCAGCAGUCAUAAUCACACUACUGCUUCUCUCCUCAUGCGCCUUCAUUUUAAAAUACAACUAGUCUGGUGCAAAGUACCCAUGACCCUUUAGUUUUUCCAGGCAUGCCUCCACAACGUUUCUUUCAUUACCUGUCUUACUUACUGCUAGUCGAGCCGAUGCACCAAUUGUAACCAUCGGCUUAGGCUGCCCUACUGGUGCUCCUUGAAUGGGUAUUUGAAAAGUGAUGUGUAGCAUUUUACCUGGACCAACAACAUCUUGUCGCACUCUAGGAGUGGUACCACCUAGCUCUAUGACAACUCGUUUAAACCAUCUAAUAUUGUUGAUAACCUUCUGAGGUCCAAUGGAUGGUCACCCUUGGAUGAUGAGUGAUUGACAACGUUGUGUUGGAUUGAUGUGCUCUUGGUUUGUGAUGCGCAGGUGUGGAGCUCGGAGGCGGUGAUCAAUGGUGAGGUGAAGGUUAAGUAGAGACGGGUCGUGCCGAUGGACCAAGAGCGGUGAAGGACGGACGUGAGGCUUGGACUGAGGGACUAGAGCGCUGGAGGAUCAGCCGUGGUGGCUGACACUUGGGGACAUCGACAAGCGAAAGUGUACAUGGAGGAGUGACCAAGUUGACCAGGUCAAGGUGGCAGACGUGCAAGUCGAGUGAAGGUGCUAGAAGACUUGGUGGCCGGGCGGUCGAGGAUGGAGGUGACACGUGUCAUGGAGCGGGUUUGGUGGUUUGGUCAGCAAAACCUAGGCGGAGGUUCCGAGGAGGAACACAGAGGCACGUGGAGGAAUCACAGAGGUUGCAUCGAGGCGAAGAAAGUUUGUGCAGGAAGCGUGGCCGUCCGAUCGAUCGAAGACAAACUUGGAUCAUAAUACCCCUGCACGGGUAGUUAUCUUAGUUUUAAGUUGUAGGGGUAAUUUACUCAUUAGUGGGGUCUAUAGAUAGAGAUGGGGUCUGGUUGUGUUUAGUACCUCUUUCAUCACCUCUUCCAACACUCCCUCACCGCCUCUAUCUCCCUAAUCCCUCUCUCUCUAGUUUAAAGGUUCUCGGAUGUUUUGAGCACUGAGUUUUUGUAUUGAACCAAGUUUUUGUUGUGGGAAUGGAGGCCCUAACCUUCUCGUGUCCUCCUUGUGUUGGGGGAUGACAUUUUGUGCAAAUCUCGCUUGUGUUCUUCGCGUUCUUAUUUUCUCUUGUUUUUCUCCUUUCACGUUUUGGUUCGAUUCGUUAUUUCUGAGGAGUCUUGGCUCAAACCGAUUGAAGGGAAAUGAAUUAGGAUGUGAGGAGAACCUUUCCACCAAAGGGAUUCAACUAAAACCUCACGAGUUCAUAGAUCAGGGCGAUUCAAGGUUUGGAGUUUGAAAAUGAGAGCUCUUCACAAUAUUUGCAAUUCCUUUUGUUUGACAAGUCUUUUGGGGUUGUUUUCUUAGAAAAAUCUUCUUAUAUGUUGUGAUGUUAUGGUUCAAAUUUUGCGAUUUUUGGAGUUCGUUUGAUUGAGUUUUGCUAUUUUUCUUUGCGUUCCGUCACGUUGUCUUGGCAAAACCGGAAGUUCUGAUUUCUGAAAACUGGAAGCUCCGGUUUUGGCUCUGUAGCUUCGGUUUUCCUCUGAAGCUUGUGUUACUUCGGUUGUCUACUUUGUGUUGGCUUCCGCUAGGUGUCAAGGCUUUCUAGUAUUGUUCCUAGGCCCAAUAGCAUCUCCAAUUGCUAUGUGGAUCUGGCAAUUCUAGAGUUUAUGUAUGUGUUUGGGACAUAGGCCUUGCUCUUUGAAAGAAUUUGAAAAGGCUCCCAUUCACCCCUCUCUGGUCACCCAUCCGGUCCUUCCCCUACAUUGUAUGUAAGUAUAAUUAUGAAUUAUUCAUGUGUAGUACAAAACCAAUUAGAAGAAAUAAAUAAUAUUACUAUGAUUGGAGUUGAUUCGUCGCUUCGAUCGCCUUUUGGCAUGAUGAUACUAGGAGUAGGAAAGUGAACUCCUGCAGGACGAGGCAACGAUAGCUAUCCCUUGAGGGCAGACAUUUCUAUAUAACAUUCAAACAGUUGAAGUUAUCAAAUAUCCAUCAAAUUCUAGCUGAAAACAUGUUUAAAUAAAUAACCAUUCGUACUUGAUGAACUUACAGACUGUGAUCAUCUCGGCGAGCAUUUCUCCACCGGGCGGUACCAUACUUCGCCAUGGAAGAACUCCAAUUCUAUGAGGAAGGUGAAAUGGUCUUCCACAAUGUUCGUUCUUGCUCUUCCUAGUAGAAUCGGAGCUCCUCCUUGACGUCUGUUGCCGCUCGGCGAAGAACAUGCUCGCCGAGAUGAACACGGUAUGCUAGUUCAACAAGUCCAGAUUUUCUAAAAUUUUCUAGAUAUUUUCUAAUUAUUUCAAUUGAAGGGAAAAAUUAAUUCUAAAAAAUAAAAGGCAUGAUUUCUCAGUAUUUUAAUUUUCUAUAAUUUUUAUCUAAUCCAAAAAUUUUCUAUAUUUUUCUAGCUAAUCUCUACUGAUGCAUAAAUUAAAAUAUAAACAAUAAUGAUGUCACGGCGAGUAUGGGCUUACAUCAGCGCGUCCCGAUGCCGCCGUGAGUUUUUAGGAGCCGGCCGAGGUGGUCGUCGUUGAGGGCACGGGGCAUGCAGGCGAUGUCGAGGGUGCGGCAAGUCAGUGAGGCAGCGGCAACAUCGUCGUAGGGAGGGUGGUGUGGAGGGGUGAUGUUGGGGCCGGCGUGGAGUGGCGGCGUUGGGGGCGGCGAUGUCAGGCCUGGGGCGCGGACGAGAAUGAGGGGGUGCGUUGACUGCGAGGCAACGGCAUCGGGGCGUUAAUGCAAUCGGGGCUGAGGUGGGCCGGGCGGGGUAGUAGGCCAGGGCAGCGUCGUACCUGGACGAGAUGGCAUCGUCGGACGCGCGGCCGGUCGGGGGUGGGGGUGGGGGAGGGAGGCGACGGUAGCAGAGAGACUCUAGUACUGGUUGUAAUUAUAAUCCGACAGCAGAGAGACUCUAGUACCGGUUGUGAACUAAAACCGGUACUAGUGGCCUCUAGUACCAGUUGUAGUGUAUAACUGGUACUAGAGGGUCUCGCCACGCAGGAAAAUUAAAAUGAUCCUCUAGUACCGGUUUUAGCGUACAACCGGUACUAGAUGAGCAUCUAAUACCGGUUGUACACUAAAACCGGUACUAGAGGGUUCCCCUAUUUCAAUUUACUGCUCUUAUUUUCAUUUUUCGUUCCCCUAUUUCAAUUUACUGCUCUUAUUUUCAUUUUUCCUUUCUUUUACAAUUGCUAUUAUAUUUUUUUAUUGCAUAGCACAUUAAAGAACAGACAUAAAAAUUAUAAAAACAAUUAUAGUGUCACAUUACAAUUGUUACUAUUAAUUUUAUUACAUAGUGUUGAAACUAGUAUACUCUUGUAAUGUGGAAAUAUAAGAAUUGUUAUGUGCCCGAGAUGAUUUGACUGGAUAAUUUGAAAUACGUUGAUAAGGAAAAUAUUCCUCUAUCUCUUCAUCAUCGGAGUGCUCAUUAGUAUCAUUAUCAUCUACAAACAUCUUUACAAUAAAGUCUGAAGAGUUCAUUAACCUAAAAAGUUUGGAGGUGAUGCUUGGUUAUGGUGCUGAAAGAGCUGUGCAGGGAGCUCGGCAUCCCACGGUGGUCGCACCGCAAGGUGAAGAGCCUAAGUACAAGUUGCUAAGUACAGUCUAUGGCAAUGCAAUGUGACCUACUACCCAUUUCAACUCAAUCUCUCUCUGUAUUAUCUUCUUCUCCCCUCCCCUACAUGUCAUUCAGUAGCCAUCGAGAUGUUGUCUCACAGGGAUGGAUAUUGAUAGCUUGGCUCAUUGCAAAAAGAGUUUUCAUGUUCCAAGUGCAGUUCAGAUUAGGCUUGGCAUCGGCUCGAAAAGGCUGGGAGGGCUCCAUAGCUGUUUGAAGGUGAUGCUUGGUUAUGAUUUCAAUGAUCCUUUGUUGUUGGUGGAGAAGCUUCACAACCAAAAUGCAUAAGAUCUAUGAACUGAUCUAUAAGAAGACACCAUUGAACCAGCAAGAAUAACAUUCCUCCUAGGUUUGAAGCUAGGUUAUUACCUCUUCCAAGCUUCUAGUCAUGCCUCUCAGAGGUGAGCUGAGCUUGCGAGAGAAAGUGCGAUUUGAUGUGAUACUUUAUCAGCUAUAAUACAAGUGAGAAAGAGCAAGAAUUCUGACUUAUUCAUAUUCAAAGAAGCUUAGAUAACUCGAUCAGGUCUCGAGUGCGAUUUGAAGUGUGAAUUUGAAAUAGGUUGACGGGCCAAAUGUUCCCAUCUCUUCAUCAUCAGAGUGAUCAUACGUAUCAUUAUCAUCUGCAAACAUCUUUACAAUCAAGUCUUAAGAGUUCAAUAACCUAAGAAGUUUGGAAGUGACACUUGGUUAUGAUUUCAAUGAUCCUUCAUUGCUGGUGGUAGCUUCAUGGCCCAAAUACAUAAGAUCUAUGAACUGAUCUACAAGUAGACAACCUUUUGCUACCAAUUUAUUCCUUUUGCCUGUUGCUGACUGUUUGGAAUGUUGCAAACCAUGACCGUAGUGCUAUCGUAAGACUAGUCAUAGGAAUGGAUAUUGAUGACUUGGCUCAUUGCAGAAAGGGUUUCACAUUCCAUGUGCAGUUCAAAUUAGGCUAGGCAUCGGCUCGAAAAGGUUGGGAGGGAUCCAUAGCUGUUUGAAGGUGAUACUUUGUUAUGAUUUCAAUGAUCAUUCGUUGUUGGUGGAAGCUUCACAUCCAAAUACAUAAGAUCUAUGAAAUGAUCUAUAAUACGACACCAUUGAACCAACAAGAAUAACAUUCCUCCUUGCUUUGAAGCUAGGUUACCUCUUCCAAGCUUCUAGUUAUGCCUCUCCUUGUGCCGACUAUUGCUUCCCUGUCAUGUUGCAGAUCAUGACCGUAGUGCUGUUACAAGUUGUGGAGCUUGCCAAAAAGAUCUUGAGUGCGAUUUGACGUGGUGCUUUAACAACUAUGAUACAAGUGAGAAAGAGCAAGAAUUCUUACUUAUUCACGUUCAAAGAAGCUUAGUUAACUCGAUGAGGUCUCGAGUGCGAUUUGAAGUAUUAAUUUGAAAUAUGUUGACGGGCUAAAUUUGGAGGUGAUGCUUGGUUAUGAUUUCAAUUAUCCUUCGUUGUUGGUGGAAGCUUCACAUUCAAAUACAUAAGAUCUAUGAACUGAUCUAUAAGAAAACACCAUUGAACUAGCAAAAACAACAUUCCUCCUAGCUUUGAAGCUAUUUUACCUCUUCCAAACUUCUAGUCAUGCCUCUCCUUGUGCCGACUAUUGCCUCCUUGUCUUGUGUACUUCAAAUGUCCUAUUCCAUAAGUAACAAUGACCUUUGCCCACAAUUACCUCUUCCAAGCUUCUGGUCAUGCCUCUCCUGGUCCAACAUACAAAUUUGUGUUGUAUUAUCCUUACAAACUUUGUUUGACAUUUUACUUCCCCCCACUAUGGACCUUCCCUAAACAUGUUUCGAAGACACUACCACGCGUGAUAAUUUGAUCUUUUGGGAAGCGGCCAUGGGUUCUCUUCACUUAAUGAAAUUUCAUGCCUUUAGAGGUGCAUGGGGAGAUGGAACGGCUGUGACAUGUCAUUUAGUAGCCACUUAAUCGACAUGUUGCUUCAUAGGGAUGGAUAUCGAUAGCUUGGCUCAUUGCAGAAAGAGUGUUCACGUUCCAUGUGCAGUUCGGAUUGGCCUUGGCAUCAGCUCGAAGGGGCUGGAAGGGCUCCAUAGCUAUUUGGAAGUGAUGCUUGGCUAUGACUUCAAUGAUCGUUCGUUGUUGGUGGAAGCUUCACGUCCAAAUAUAUAAGAUCUAUGAACUGAUCUAUAAGUAGACACCAUUGAAACAACAAGAAUAACAUUCCUCCUAGCUUUGAAGCUAGGUUACUUCUUCCAAGCUUCUAGUCAUGCCUCUCCUUAUGCUGACUGUGUGUAUGAUCACCAUGAGAAACUUUACUUUCUUACACACAACGAAGGAUCCAUAGGUACUUGGCUUCCUACUUGUGGUCUUAUCUUUGUUGAGUGAUUUUGGGAUUACGGGCCACAACUGCACAAGGCGAGGGUAUAACCACAGCAUCGAGAUAUUUCCUCACAGGGAUGGAUAUUGAUAGCUUGGCUCAUUGCAGAAAAACUUUUCACAUUCCAUGUGCGGUUCAGAUCGGAGGUGAUGCUUGGUUAUGAUUUAUUGGAUCUAUUGGGAAGCCUCCAUGGUUUCUCUCUUCGCUUGAUGAAAUUUCAUGCAACUUGACUGCAAAUCUACUCGAUGCAGUGAGCUUUGUGCAACUGAAAUACCAUGAAACUGAAAUGUUGCUGAAAGUUUAGCUAAAAAAUACAAAAAUUAAAAUUUCAGACCCAAACAACAUGAUACACUACGACAAUCUCAAAUUUUGUUGAAAGUUUAGAAGUGGCCUACUACUGGUGAUUUGUGAGAGAGAAGUUGUAUCGAGAAGAAGAGGUGGAAUAUAACAAGGAGUUUGGCCAAGUACAUAAGAACAAAGUGAAGAAAAAGAGAAAGAGUAAGAAUUCUGACUUAUUCACAUUCAAAGAAGCUUAAUUAACUCGAUGGGGUGCAUGGGAGAUGGAACGGCCAUGACAUGUCAUGCCAUUGGUCCUAAUACAUAAGAUCAUGCCUUUGCUACUAAUCUAUUACAAGACAUCAUUGAACCCAACAAGAAUAACAUUCCUCCUAGCUUCAAAUGAUAUGUUCCAUGAGGUUCCAUGAGGGCAAAACCUGUAGCCCUAAUAUAUGUUGGACAUAUACAUGGACAUCUAUAGUUAAGGCUACAAUAACAACCAAGAUGUACUACUGGAUUGAAGAGACUGCUAACUCCAAUCAACUUAUUUGAAGGGACUUGGCAUCUGCUCGAAGGGCCUGGGAGUACUCCAUAGCUGUAAGAAGACACAUUCAACCAGCAAGAAUAACAUUCCUCCUAGCUUUGAAGCUAGGUUACCUCUUCCAUGCUUCUGGUCAUGUCUCUCAGUUCCAUGAGCUACCAGGACCUUGAAAUGAUUUGUUCCAUGAGCUACCAGGGCCUUUGCCCACAAUGAUAUGAUCGAGUCACAUUUUUGUCCCAGUCUUUCAUCAACUUCCCGUUGGUCCAACAUACAAACUCCUGCAAGGAAUUCGAUGUUAUAUUAUCUUGGAAAGUGGGCAGAGGAGGAGUUGGUGACAGGUCUCGCGGAUGGUUUAGAAUCAAAUAAUACUUUAGAAUAUCCUUACAAAAUUUGUGUUGUCUUAUCCUUACAAACUCCCUUUGACAUUACUUCCCUCCACUAUGGACUUUCUCUAGAUAAAUAUGUUUCAAAGACACUAAGCAAAUCGGAUGUUUCAAAGUGGUGGGAGUUGGUGAGAGUCUACGUGUUAAUUUGAAAUACGUUGACUGUUUUCCUCUAUCUCUUCAUCAUCAGAGUGCUCAAAAGUAUCAUUAUCAUCUGCAAACAUCUUUGUAAUCAUUUGUUUUGCCAGCUGUUAUCAUAUCAUUUAAAACUUCAUUUUCAUAGAGAAAAAGAAAGGUUGCAUUGUUAUACCAUCCUGUAGUAGCUGGACUAGUUUAAUUAGAGAAGGGUUACCUUCCAAAGGUCACAUUUGUUGUUGUGCAAAACAAGAUAAAUGCAAUGUGCUCUAGCCUAAACAUGUUUUAAAAACUAGUCUACAUGUGAUAAUAAGCUGAUGAUUUGACUUUCUCCAAGUGUUCCCCUUCCAUGUACAAUCCACCUCCCCUCUAUUCUGCACCUCCCUUAACUAUUCCGCACUAGUACCGGUUUGUGGCCGCAACUGGCGCUAGUGGGUAUCCCUUUUAGUACUGGUUUAUGCCACCAACCGGUACAAGAGGAUGGGUGGCACAUUAGUACCGGUUCUAGGCAAUAACUAGUACUAAUGCUCACACUUUAGUACCGGUUGUUCCGGUACUAAAGGGGUCAUCGGGGCGCGCUACAGGCAGCAUCCUUUGGAACCGGUACUAAUGCUAACGUUAGUAUCGGUUCCAAAUGCAACUGGUACUAAGGUUAGGGAUGAAAGGUCAUUUUUCUAAUAGUGUUUUAUGGCACAAAUAUUUGAAGUCGUUUUUAAAUUCUGCAAAAGCACUAGAGCAUCUGAAGGUAUGGGGCAGUCACUUAGCUCGUUGUUCUGAACUUGUGAGUCAUGACUCAUACGUGAUCACCCUGCAAGCACCCUGUUUGAAACUCUUUAGUCUGCACUCCUGCAGGAGGUGUCCGUCCGACAGCAACUGUGCAUACCGGAACGUGGUGGACCACUCCACCGGUGAGUUCACGCAGGUGCUCUUCAGGACAUCUACUCCGACCCCGCUGUCCGCUUCGCCGCCUGCGACCAAGGCGAGGCUAGGCUUCUUCUUCUUCCAGGUCCACGUCACGAGUUAAAUGUAUUCUUCAGCUAGUUUAGAGUCCAGGACCUGACUUGACGGCCACCGUGCUUGGGAUCGUUGGCGCAGGCGACACUGAGGAGCGAGGAAGGCAUGUCGCUCUUCUUCGUCCUUUGCAACCCCAGCUGUGGCCACAGGUGGUCAGUUGGGGUCGCGGGCAGUCAGCCCCAAUGUCCGAUUGUACGCGAGCACCAUCGUGGGUGUGGUCACCAAUGCGGAAGCGGGUGAGGGAUGCGUCCUCCAUGUACGUGGAGGAGGGGCCCGCUGAAGAUGACGGCAACGAUGACCACGGUGGGGUGACGGCAAGGACGAUGACGACCACGAGGAAGAUGAGGUGGCUCUUGAUGUUCUCGCGGAUGUGGUAGGGGAUGCAGCAGCCAACCUUCUCACUGCAGCAAUCGAAGAAUUUAGAUGGUGUUGGAGAAGGCACUACUAUAGAUGUCCUCAUCACCGCUGGUUUUGUGUGAGUCAAUGGUGAUGAGUUAUCACCACCGGUUGUUUACAUAGGCUAGCAGUGAAAAGUGGAGCCGGCAGUGAUAAUAUAGCAUCACCGCCAGCUCAAAUUACAAACCGGCGGUGAUGACUUUACUGGUAGAGAACUGACCUUCCAUGCGCUCUCUUUUGUCCAAAUUUAAAGUUGGUCCAAGACAAAAGGUUCACCAACCGGGACUAAAACUUAGCCAUUAGCGGGGGACUCACCAACCGGGACUAAAGAGCCCCUUUAGUCCCGGUUGUAAAUGACAAUGGGCCGGGGGGGGGGGGGGAGGGAGGAUAAGAAGCGGGGCGGCGGUGAGCGGAGCAGGCAGCGCAGCGGCGCGGGAGCGGGUGGCGGAGGAGGAGCCACCCCAUGGUCGGUGGGGAGGAGAGGAGGAGUGAGGCGGAGGGGCUGGUCCGGCAUGGAGGAGAGGAGGCACGGGGCUGGGCCAGCCUGGAGGAGCCAGGCAGAGCGGCCGGCGGGGCGGGGGCAGCCAACGGGGAGGAGCCCGGUGGGAAGGGGGCAGCCGGUGUGAAGGAGCCCGGCGGGGCGACUGGCGUGGUGGAGCCCAACGGAGCGGCUGGCGGGGAGGGGGCAGCCGGCGGGAAGGAGCCCAGCGGGGCGGCCAAUGGGGAGGAUCCCAGCGGAGCGGCAAGCGGGUGCAAGCAUAGCCUUUUUUUUAAAAAAAAACUCUUUUAUCCUGGUUGGGAAUACAAACCGGGAUAAAAAUGGGGUUUCCUUGUUUCGAUUAUUUUAUCCCACAUGGCUUUUUUGUAGAUUUGAGGCCUACCAACCGGGAUAAAAGCUAAGAUUUCUACCAGUGUUUUCACCGCCGGAUCAUAUACAGCCUGUUGGUGAAGGGGGUUACAGAACCCGACAUUUUCAUAAACCCGGAUUUUGGAAGGCCUCGCGUCCACCCCUCCCCGACCCUUAUCCGCUGGCGUCCCCUCCUCCACCCCCAUCGCGAGACCUCCACCCCCUUCUCUCCCUCAAUCCCCCAUUCUCUCCCUUGCUUUGGCAAGACUGACCCCUCCUCCCCCUUCGCCGCCCCUUUCCUCCCCCCUCCGCUCGCCCCUCACCUCGUACGAGGAGCGGCGAUGGGGCGAGGUACAGUGGCGUCCAUCGGGGAUAGGAGCAGCUACGGCGACCAUGGGGGCAAGGAGCGGUGGCGGUGGCCUGCGAGAGGUCGGAGCUCCUCAGCGUCAGCAUGCGGAGGAGCGGCGACGGGCUGCUCAACGUUGGCGCGUGGGUAAGCUCUCUCUCUCCCUCCCUCCCUCCCUCCCUCCCUCCAUCACCAGAUCUGGCCGGUGUGGAGUUCAGCCGUGGCGGCGACAUCUCCCGACCGCUUCUCACGGCCCCUCUCCUGGCUGCAUCUCGCACUUAGCACACAGCUAGCUGUGUUCUUGGUCUGCGUCUUUCUCUCACACUUUUAUGCAGGUAGUUUGUUUGUAGUGCACACAUGGAGAUGCUCAAGUGCGUUGGGCAUAGAGAUGUGACAAAGGGAUGGAUACUGUCCAGAUUUAUGAACUAUGCAUUGCGUUCUACAAGUUGUACGCAUAUAUAUUAAAAUCGUAAUGCUAAGGAUCGGACACCCGGAAUCAAAAAAAUCGGACGGUUCGAGAUAUGUUUCAAUAGUUGAUUUUUGAUGUUGCAACUAUUGUUUUUGCAUGUUUUACUGUGAAUAUUACAUGAAACAUAGUGUUCAUAUUGCAGUGGGCAGUCAAACGACUUAAGUAGAUUUUUCGUAUAUUUUUCAAUGUUGCACAUAUAGAUUUUCGAUGUUGCAGAUGUUUUGUUUUGUGCAAAUAAAAACUUGGCAACAAUUUUAAAGGUGCAAACACUACCGGGCAAAGUAAGACGCUUUGGAUAUAUGUGUCUCGAUCACUCUCAUGGAACUGGACAACGAGAUUGAGGUCAGCAGGUACACUCAUGACGUACCAGCUGACGGAUGGUAGGUGCGUCCGUACCUAUAGCAGCCGGCAUUCUCGCCAAUUCCGAUGGAUCCGCCAGUCGGGUAGUGAUGGUUGUUUUUCAUCCAGAUUGUGUGUAUAUAUGCUCACUCGUGGACAUGUAAGUGAUUGCAAAGGAAGCAAUGGCGCCCUCACCAAAAAAUCUCUCUGCCGCCCUCCUCCUGCUCGUCAUCAUGGCGGCCGCCGGCGGUACGUGUGCACGUGCAUGUGAACUACAUCAUCCGCGAUGUCAUUUGAUUAAUCUCUACUCCAUCCGUUCCAAAUUAUAGAUUAUUUUAACUUUUCUAUAUGCAUAAUUUUAACUAUACACCUAUAUAAUAUGUGUGUAUAUAUAUGCUUAAUAAUGCUAGGUAUACACAGUUAAUUUGUCGUUCCCUCUGUCCCAAAAAUUAAAGAAUACAUUGUCCUAAUUCUAUUUAUAACAGAGUUGGCGUCUACUGGGGUCUAUGCUUGCGAAUACUACCAGAGCGGCAGUUUUGAAGGGCCGUGCUUCGAUCCAUUUAACGCAGUCGACUGCGAUGUCGCUUGCAAAUACGAAGGAAAACUCAACAACGUUCAAGGCAUAUGUAUAGCUUUUAAAUGCUGGUGCUACGCGCCGCCUUGCAACUGAGAUCGUUGCUGCUGCUAGCGCUCCAAUGCAGCCACGAUACAGUGAUCCUUGCCUGGUGGCAUUCCAUGAUCCAAUCCUUCUUCCCAGCACUCAUGUAAUAAUAUAUAAUGUUAUGCCGUGACAAAUAAAAGUGCUGUGUUUCUCCGUAAAUGCAUGUUGUGGUGUCAACGAUGCAAACUUAAAAGGCCAAAUAUAACCGUUUGGAACCAUAAAUAAUACUAUCUCGGUAUCAAAAUAUUUGUCAUCAUUGACUUUUUCUUGCAACUUUGACCAACCGUUUUAUUUAAAGAUUUAUCGGAAACAUACGGAAAGUUUAGUUAUGCUUAAAAUAUACCUAUAAUAUACUAUGCCAGAAUCGAUUUGUAGUGGCACCAUAAAAUUAGCGUGCUGAAGGGUGCGAUUGGCACCCACCAGCACAAAGAACAAUCGGGCCACCAGGUUACCGACCGCCAGCAUAGUGGCCACUGUGCUGGCGGGCGACAUAAGACACCCGCCAGCACAAGUCGCCCCAUCUCUGCUGGCGCAUGACAAAACCACCCGCCAGCAAAGAGAUCCACUGUGCUAGUGGGCAACAUAAACCUGCCGCAAGCAAUACAAAUUCUCUCAUAUUAGCCAGCUAACUGGUACGUAUAGGUACAAGUACCGAUUGAUGAGGUGGAUUAGGAUGCGCAAGGAUCUGAAGCCUACCGCCAGCACAGGUCACCCGGGGUGUGCUGGCGUGUGACAUAACCAGCCGCGAGCAAAGAGGACAAUGUGCUAGCGGGCUACAUAAGCACACCGCUAGCACAUGUCACCCCAUCUGUGUUGGUGGGUGACAUAAAUACCUGCGAGCACAGUGGUUGACUCUAUUGGCAGGCUACGAUAAGCCCACCGCGAGCAAUACAAAUUCUCUCCUGUUAAUUGGCCGGCUAACUGGUAUAUUGUAUAAUCACACAAACUUGAAGGAACAAAAGAAAAUUGAGAGAAGAGACAAUCCUAAAGGCAACAUUGCAUUACAAUAGUUAAAGUACUUCAUAAGUUUUCAGCCAUAGUUCAAUUUGUUCAUCAAACAUCAUAUUACACAAAUCAAGCUUAGUAAAAUUCUUGUGCGAGAGAUCUUCAAAUCCACCUAUAAACCCUGAGGUGCUGAUUGGUAUCCUCAAAGUAGGGCAGAUACCUCACACUCCUCACCAGGUCAAAGAAAAUCCUCUCCCUCGCCACUUGAACAUAGCGAGCACGAAGGAAAUUGGCAAACAUUGUAUCUGGGCAUAGGAUAAAUCCAAACCUGAGUUCUGAAAGAAUAAAAUGAUGAAUUAGAAAUUGAAACAUGUGCCAAGGAAAAUGUGCCAACUAUCAAUCAAUAACCAUAAAAGCAUAUGAGCCACUACAGAACAACAAGCACAAAUACAAGCUAAUCAAAAACACAGAAGUUCAGAUACACUGCAGCAAGUUCAUACUUCACUUCAAUCAAGAUUGUGUAUAUAUAUGCUCACUCGUGGACAUGUAGUGAUUGCAAGACUGCAAAGGAAGCAAUGGCGCCCUCACGAAAGAAUCUCUCUGCCGCCCUCCUCCUGCUCAUCAUCGUGGCGGCCGGCGGCGGUACGUACGUGUGCACAUACAUAUGAACUACAUCUGCGAUGUCAUUUCAUUAAUCUUCUAUUCAAUCCGUUCCAAAUUAUAAAUUAUUUUAACUUUUCUAUAGGUAUAAUUUUAACUAUACGCACAUAUAUAUACUUAAUUAUGUCUAGAUACAUAGUAAAUACUAUUAAUUAUGACCUUUAAUUAUUUGAUUGACAUACUACUCGUCCCUCUGUCAAAAAAAUUAAAGAUUACUUUGCCCUAAUUCUAUUUAUAACAGAGUUGGCGUCUACUGGGGUCUAUGCUUGCAAAUACCACCAGAGCGGCAGUUACGAAGGGCCGUGCUUCUCUGGUAUUAGCGAUGACUUCUGCAUCGCAUGCGGUUAUGAAGGAAAAAUCAACAACGUCCAAGGCUUCUGUAUAGAUUUUAAAUGCUGGUGCUACGCGUCGCCUUGCAACGGCCUCUAAUUGAGAUCAUUGCUGCUGCAGAUACAGUGAUCCGUAAAUGCAUGUUGUGGAUUUCGACGAUGCAAACUUAAAAGGCCAAAUAUAACGUUUGGAACCAUAAAUAAUACUAUCUCUGUAUUAAAAUAUUUAUCGGCAUUGAUUUUUUCUUGCAACUUUGACAAUCCGUUUUAUUUAAAGAUUUAUUGGAAACAUACGAAAAGUUAAAUUAUGUUUAAAAUAACUAUAAUAGCAAAGCAGAUCACAAACAAAGUAGAUGAUACAUACAUAAUUUUUUGAAUGAGACGAAUGGUCUGAAUAUGCGGUGGACUUCAAAAGGAGAAGCACAAUCAAAUCUUAGGUGAUAGCUGAUUUCAUUGUGGACUGGACCUCUCCUUGCAACAAUGAAAAUGAUUAAAUCGAGGUUCCUUGGAUCAUACACUACGAUGGGGCUUGGUGCGAAAAGGGGGUCGGAGUGUCAGCAAUUAUAACUUCACCCUCGGGGGUAAAAAUCAGAUACGCCGCGUGACUUGAUUUCAAGGGCAAGGCACGAUCCACCAACAAUACUACAGAAUAUGAAGCACUGCUCCUAGGGCUAAGGAAGAUGAAAUCUCUAUGCCAGCAGGUUUUCAUAAUAGAAUCAGAUUCCAAGGUAAUCCAAGAGCACAUCGAGAAAGAAAGUGAGACUAGGGAGCCAGAACUUGUAAAAUACUUGGCCAUAGUAGGAUCGAUGGAAAAAUAUUUCAAAGGGUUCACUAUCCAGCACAUCUCAAGGGCAGAAAAUGAUGAAGCAGACAAAUUGGCAAAGGCAGCCUUGCAAAGCAGAUCCUUCCACCUGAUGUAUUCUACGAAGUUAUCCAUUCACCAUCAACACAAUAACAAGCACCAAGGAUCGUAAAUGCAAUCACCAAGUUCGACUGGAGAGCCCCAAUCAUGACAUAUAUUUAAGAGGUCAUCACGAGCCUCAUGACGAGGCCGAGCUAAACAGAAUGAAGGAAAGGGCUAGGGGUUAUGCCAUAGUCGAUGGUGAGUUAUACAAGGCUGGGAUAUCAUCUCCGUGAUUGUGUGCCGCAUAACAUCGGAAAGUGGCAAAGAACUGCUAGCAGAAAUUUGUAGCUGAUUUUGCGGAUCUCACAACGGUACCAGGGCUCUAGUUGGCAAAACUAUCUCGGAUAAAGAUUCUUCAGGCCAACAUCAAUAUUUGACGCCAGAAACAUAGUGAGAACUUGCUAGGCUUGCCAAAAAAACAGCCAAUCAGCAAUAAACCCCAUGCCAAUCCAAUUAAUACCUCCUUCCUAGCCCUUACAAAGGUGGGAAUGGACUUAGUAGGACCACUGCCAACCGCGUAGGGUAAUUGCAAGUUCAUAGUGGUAGCGAUCGACUACUUCACUAAAUGGAUCGAGGCUACGAUCGACUACUUCACUAAAUGGAUCGAGGCUAAACCCCUGGCAAACAUAACAUCAAGCGCCAUGCAAAAGUUUUUCUAGCAGAACAUCAUCUACAGAUUCGGAGUCCCUACAGAACUAAUAGCAAAUAACGGAAAACAAUUCGAUUGCAAUGAUUUCAAGGAAUUUUGUGCAAGCAUGGGAACAAAGGUAAAUUUUCCUUCAGUAUACCACGCUCAAUGAAAUGGAGCUGUAGAAAGAGCGAACGGAAUAAUCUUCUCGAGCAGCAAAAAAUGCCUUUACAACCAGAAAAAGGGAAAUGGAUAAAAGAAUUACCAAAAGUCAUUUGGUCACACAACACGACAACCUCGACGGCAACUGGGUUUUCGCCAUUUCGCCUGCUCUAUGGCUCCGAAGCCAUGAUGCUAGAAGAAAUAAAAAAUGAAAGUCUAAGAGUUCUCAAGAUUGAGACAAGUUCAGAAAAUGAAAAAAUUGACAAAGAUUUGAUCAAGCGGGAUGCAAGGUUCGCGGCACACUGGCGUCUAUAAAUAGAUGUGUAACAAAGACAUUUGGUGCCAAGUCCAGUAAACAAAGCUCGCCAAGAUACAUGCCAGUUCGCGGCUGCUGCGUUCGUCGCCAUUGUUGCUCUAUGUUUGUGCUCGAGUUUAGUUACUGAGAGCAAGAGAGAUAGAGAGUUCCUGAGCUCUACCAACAUUUGGUAUUUAGAGCUAAGCUGAUCGAAUAUGUCGUCUCUUGGGUCCAAGAAGCCGUGCAUCAACCUUGGUGACGACAACGGCUCUAGCAGCUCACCGCAUCCGGUCACGACGGCGAGUGCCGCUGCUAACCAAGACCAAUUACCAUGAGUGGUCCUUGGUUAUGUAGGUAUUCCUGGAGGCGAUGGAGUUCCGGGAUGUCGUGGAGGUGGUCUGCAAGGAGCGCACCAAGGAUCGACGGGCGUUGGCCGCCAUCUUGUAUGCGGUGCCAUAAGAGAUGAAGAUCGGGCUCACCGUGAUGAAAUCAGCGAAAGAAGCAUGGGAUGCAGUGAAGAAGAUGAGGGUUAAUGAUGAUCGCAUGAAGGCCGCGAGUGUGCAACGUCUCUUGAAGGAGUUUGAGAAUAUUGCGUUCCACGAUGGGGAGUCCGUCGACAACUUCAUGAUGCACAUCAAUGAGCUUGUCGCUAGCCUGCGUGAACUUGGCAAAGCGAUGGAGGACAGCCAUGUGGUAACAAUGAUCUUGCGCGUGGUCUUGAAGAAGAUGAAGCAGGUCAAGGUGGCAAUCGAGAUGUUUACAGACUUCAACACGACAUCCGUGGAGGAGGUCGUCAGCCGGCUGCACGUGGCAAAGGAUGCCGACAUCGAAGAAGCUAUGAAUGACGUUGGGCGGCUUCUUCUCACUGAGGAGCAGUGGGAGGUGUGCCGGCAUAAGCGCGGCUGCAAGCAGCAGGUGCACGGCGGCGAAGGAGCACGACAUGGCAGCGGUGAGAGACGUGGUGGACGGAACGAUGACCACGGGGAUGACAACGACGACGAUGAUCGCAACAGCACGAGCUCGGGGAGUAGGCGUUGCUGGAGAUGCUACCGAGGGCGAUGCUUCGAGUGCGGCGAGCGCAGCCACAUGACCAAGGAUUGCUUCGGGAAGAAGAAGGAAAGGGCCCUCCUCGCCAACAUCAACGAUGACGAGCCGACACUCCUGUAGGUUGGGUGUUAGGGGGUGUCGUGGUUUAGGGGGUGAUUGUCAGGAAUAAACCACGCCAUUGGUGUGUCCAUGCGUGCGGGUCGAAGCCAGGUCUAUGCGCGUGUGCAUGCAGGUUAGCUGUGGCACUGGUUGUUAGGUUGAUGCGAUGAUAAGUUGUGCAAGUCAAGAUUAGGGGGAGUUUGUUAGGAUAAUCAUGACUUGAGUUUUUGAGGUUGUUAUGUAGUUAGCGCGUGCACGCGCGUGAGUCUGUUUGAGGUUGUUAGGAAGUUAUCGCGUGCAUGCGUGUUGUUCGUCAACUGUGUGCAUGUGUGUAGGUAGGUUUGGAUGUCGACCGCGUGCUAAGGCGUGAGAAGCGGGGUGCAAGGCUCGCGGCAGGCUUGGAUGUCGACCGCAUCAUGCGUGAAGAGUUGUUGUAGACUGGCGUCUAUAAAUAGCUGUGUAACCAAGGCAUUCGGUGUGCCAAGUUCAGUGAAUAAAGUUCGCCGAUACAGGCCGGUUCACAUCCACGACGCUCGUCGCCAUUGUUGCUCUAUUGUUGCUCUGUGUUCGUGCUCGAGUUGAGUUACUGAGAGCAAGAGAGAUAGAGAGUUCCUGGGCUCUACCAACAGCUUCGAUGGUGGAGCGGUGCUAGUUUCGAGACCUAUGCCACACCCUCCGGCCUCCGCCGCCAUCAAGCUCUGUCGGAGACUAGUAGCGCGGAAGCUGCUCGAAGAAAUGCCGCACCAGGUAAGAACCAACAGAGUACUCCGGCAGACAUGUCGUUGCCCGUCAGUGGGGUGUGGUGGCGGCUCUGACGCUGAAAUGGUGACCCGAUUCUCCAGCUGGUUGCUGCAAAGAGAACAGAGGAAUGUUUAUCUGCCUUGAUGAUCCAUUGUUGUGAGUUGGGAUUUGCAGCAACAGAUUCUUGGCUCUUGCGUUGUUCAUUCCGGGGCUGUUGAUGUGAAGGUACUUCACAAUUCAUGAUCAAAGAGAAAUCAGAGUCCAUUGGUCAUCCAAAAAAAAAGUUCAUUGUCGAUAACAAUUUAUUCAGUUGCAAAGCUUGUACGCGCGCCAUUUCUGAUAGACGAAGGCAGCUGCACGCGGGCGUGGUCAUAUGGCACUGAGGAGUCCAUGGACCAAAUAUGGCUGGCGAGUUCACGCGGUGCCUCAAAUCCCCAUCCGGCCCCGCCCACCAAGCGUCUUCUGAAGCCAAGCCAGAGGCGCGCGCCAUUUGCCGCGGGACUGAGCUCACGCUGGAAGGGCACGACAAGCUCCGACGGUGGAGCGGUGUCCUGUUGUGGAGAUCUUGCACCUGCUUGGCCUCCGGCAGGGCUGGUUCCGAUGCCACCAUCCGCCACCAACCUGGCUGCACUGCUCGCCGUAAUGCACAAGCCAGCCAAUGUGGGUUGUUGACAAAUUCAGAAGAUGCAUUGUUGGGCUAGAUGAAUUUUGUUUGCUUCGUUGUUGCAAGUAACUUGCAGCAUUAGUACCGGUUGAACCGAUACUAAAUGGCAUGGCAUUUGUUACCGAACUAGCGGUACCGGCCGGUCGUCCGGUACUAAAUGUGGGUUCCCGACCGGUAGUAGAAGUUGAUCGUCCAGCAAUGCAAGCUUCAGCUUGAGUGUGCAGGCGACACUCGAACGGCUUGCUGUCGAAGCUAUAAGCGGCCUCCGAUCUAGCGGUUUGUCAUGCUCGAUGCCGAUGGCCUAGUUGGGGUUGCGGGCAGUCAAUGUCAGCUUGUACGCGAGCGCUGUCAUGGGUGUGGUCACCAGCGCGAAAGUGGGUGAGGGACGCGUCCUCCACGGUGGGCCUCAGGUGACGGAGGGGGCCGCCGAAGAUGACGGCGUCGAUGACCACGGCGGGGACGAUGACGACCACGAGGAAGAUGAGGUAGCUCUUGAUGUUCUUGCAGAUGUGGUAGGGGAUGCAGCAGCCGACCUUCUCGCCACAGCCAUCGCAGCAGUCGCACAUGGUUGAAGCCUUGAAGGAGUAGUAGUUGGAGGAUGCACUACUACAGAUUUCCUGUGAAUCAGCGGUGAUGAGUAUCACCACUGGUUGUUUACAAGCGUCGGCGGUGAUAAUAUACAAUCACCACCGGAUCAUUAUACAACCCGUUGGCGAACGGGUUCCCCGGACCUGAAAUUUUCAAAAACCCCAAUUUUGGAAGGCCUCGCGUCCGCCCCUCCCGGCCCUUACCUCCGUCCCUUGUCUCCCUCCCUCCACCCCCCCCCCCUCCCCCCUUCUCUCCCUCGUUUCGGCAAGAGUGGCCCCUCCUGCUCGUCCGCCACCCCUCUCCUCCCCCUCCGCUCGCCCCUCACCUUGUACGAGGAGUGGCGAUGGGGCGAGGCACAAUGGCGGUCAUCGGGGAUAGGAGCAGCUGUGGUGGCUAUUGGUCGAUCACUCUCAUGGAACUGGACAAAGAGAUGGAGGUCAGCAGGUACACUCAUGACGUACCAGCAGACGAUGGUAGGUGCGUCCGUACCUAGCAGCCGGCAUUCUCGCCAGUGGUGUAGUGUGGUGCAGUACUGAGGCUCUGCUUAGACUUUAGCACACAGCUAGCUGUGUUCUUGGUCUGCGUCUUUGUCUCACACUUUUAUGCAGCUAGUUUGUUUGUAGUGCACACAUGGAGAUGCUCAAGUGCGUUGGGCAUAGAGAGGUGACAUGGAGAUUACUCAUGGAACUGGACAAAGAGAUGGAGGUCAGCAGGUACAGUCAUGACGUACCAGCUGACGGAUGGUAGGUGCGUCCGUACCUAUAGCAGCCGGCAUUCUCGCCAAUUCCGAUGGAUCCGCCCGUCUGGUAGUGAUGGUUGUUUUUCAUCAAGAUUGUGUGUAUAUAUGCUCACUCCUGGACAUGUAAGUGAUUGCAAAGGAAGCAAUGGCGCCCUCACUAAAGAAUCUCUCUGCCGCCCUCCUGCUCGUCAUCAUGGCGGCCGCUGGCGGUAUGUACGCGUGUGUGCGUGCAUGAACUACAUCCGCGAUGCCGUUCGAUUAAUCUUCUACUUCAUCCGUUCUAAAUUAUAUAUUAUUUUAGCUUUUCUAUAUGUAUAAUUUUAACUAUACACCUAUAUAUGUAUAUGCUUAAUUAUGUCUAGAUACAUAGUAAAUAGUAUUAAUUAGGAUCUAUAAAUUAGGACGAAGGGAGUAGCUAAAAGUCGUUUGAUUAUUUAGUUGACGACGUUCUUUGCCCUAAUUCUAUUUAUAACAGAGUUGGCAUCUACUGGGGUCUAUGCUUGCGAGCACCACCAGAGCGGGAGUUACAAAGGGCCGUGCAUCGAUGGUAUUAGCGUCGAGAACUGCACUAUCGCAUGCAAAAACGAUGGAAUAAUCAACAACGUCCAAGGCGUCUGUCAAUUUUUAGAAUGCUGGUGCUACGCGUCGCCUUGCAACGGCCUCUAAUUGAGAUUAUUGCCGCUGCUAGCUCUCCAAUGCAGCCACGAUACAGUGAUCCCUGCCCGGUGCCAUUCCUCGAAAGAAUAAUGAUCCGAUCGAUCCUUCUUCCCAGCACUCAUGUAAUAAUAUAUAAUAUUAUGCUGUGACAAAUAAAAGUGAUGUGUUUCUCCGUAAAUGCAUGUUGUGAAAACUUAAAAGGUCAAAUAUAACGUUUGGAACCAUAAAUAAUACUAUCUCUGUAUCAAAAUAUUUAUCGGCAUUGAUUUUUUCUUGCAACUUUGACCAUCCGUUUUAUUUAAAGAUUUAUUGGAAAUCAAAAGGUUAAAUUAUGCUUAAAAUAACUAUAAUAGUAAACCAGAUCACCAACAACAAGCAUAAUUUUUUGAAUGAGACGAAUGGUCUGAAUAUGGGAUGGACUUUAAAAGGAGAAGCGCAAUCAAAUCUUAGGUGCUAACUGAUUUCAUUGUGAACUGGAUCUCUCCUAGCAACAACGAAAAUGAUUAAAUCGAGGUUCAUUGGAUCAUAAACUGCGAAGGGGCUUCAUGCGAAAAGGGGUCGGAGUAUUAGCCAUUAUCAAUUUACCCUCGGGGGUAAAAAUCAGAUAUGCCGCGUGACUUGAUUUCAAGGGCGAGGCGUGAUCCACCAACAAUACUACAGAAUAUGAAGCACUAAGCUGUAGGCCAGCAGGUUUUCAUAAUAAAAUCAGAUUCCAAGAUAAUCCAAGAGCACAUCGAGAAAGAAAGUGAGACCAGAGAGCCAAAACUUGUAAAAUAUUUGGCCACAGUAAUAUCGAUGGAAAAAUAUUUCAAAGGGUUGACUAUCCAGCACAUCUCAAUGGCAGAAAAUGAUGAAGCAGACAAAUUAGUAAAGGCGGCCUUGCAAAGCCAGAUCCUACCACUUGAUGUAUUCUACGAACUUAUCCACUCACCAUCAACAAAAAUAACAAGCGCCAAGGGUCGUAAAUGCAAUCAUCAAGUUCGACUGGAGAGCCCCAAUCAUGACAUAUUUAAGGUCAUCACGACCAAGGAAGGUACAGGAAGCGGGACCAUUAUAAGAGAGACCUUGAGGAGCAGGUAAAACAACUCGCCAUGGAGGUCCACGCCAUCAAGCAAACCCACCCAACAUCAUCAUUCAAUGGUCAACCAGAACCAACCAUGUAGCUUGCCAACACAGCAUACACUGCUCCGAGCAGUGCUGCCUCCAUUGCAAACGUGAAGUAUCAUGUAGACAACAUAAAUGUGGAUACACCAUGCAAGUUGAUGUUUCCAGUUGGGAGGAAAAAUAAGUUUCGAGAGGUCGCAAUCGGCAUGGCAGUAACAGCUCAUCUGUUCUCAAAGGAACCGCCGCUAGCAGAAUACUCAUGGGUGCAAGUUGUUACGGUGUUGGAUGAUUCGUGCGAGCUUGACAUUCGUACAAAUGAGGGGAUUGAGGUUCUCGAUGAUGCGACGAACCAGUACAUGCUGAGGCAUCGCUUAGAUAUCAUCCUGAAUGUUAAUUCAUCGUCACAAACAUCACUGCCAAUCCAAGAUGUGCCCAUGCAAGAGUCACAUCAGCAGGUAACCACCACUGAGGGCGAGCAGACCCUUCAAUCAAAUGUGCUGGGAACUACCAAUGAGGGUGGCCUGCCAAGGGUGCUCACCUAUCCACGAGGACCCACAAUUCAUUGGGAACGAGGAAUUAUGGUUCUCGUAUAUAGCAGGCCUAGCAACGUCGAGUCCGCCAUGUCAACCUUCCCAGAGUCAGCCAUCAGAUCCACCUCCCCAUAGGCAGCCAUCUUCUCCUCCCCAGAAGCCCGUACCUCGUGUGCUCAGGUCAUAUGUGAAAAAGAAUCGAUCGACAGAAGUCGAACAGUUCAUGGCCAUCAUGAAAGACCACUUCAUCUUCCUCUAAAGCUUGCGGCCCUUCUUGGACAAAUGACAUAGGCAUCAUUUUCUUUGGGCCAGAUGGAGUCCCAGAAAAAUAUGAGCAUGGGAAACCAUUCACGCCUUGGUUGGAUCUAUCGGUAGGCCCACCUGAACUCAUGAAACUGCAUGGAUGGAUCGUGCACGCAAUGAAAAAAGGCAUUCAAUCAAUCAUAGUGCAUGUCCCACAAAAAGUUUUCCUUGGCGUCGAAGAUUACAUGCUUGUGACCGAUUUCGAGGAUUUGUGGAGACUUUACCAUCAUCAACACCUCGAUGUCCAGCUCAUGACCUGCUGGUGCUUGUAAGUCCACAUGUUUUACAUAUAUAUGUAUUUAUUUUAUAUGUCUAGUACCUGAGCGAUUGCCUUUUCUGCAGGAUGCAAUGGAAAGAGGAAGAAUCGACGAUUGGCAGGUACUCAGUAGCGUUCCUUGACCUAGCACGCAUUUGCACGCCAAAGCACAGCUUCAAACUGACUGGAAGUGUCAAAGCAGAAAUGGAAGCAGCAAAGACACAAGCUGAUAAAGAUGCUAUACAGAAGAACACCCACAAAGAAGAAAAGAUCAAAGUGGCAAACUACAUUUAUACAGUUAUGAAGAACAAGGGAUGCAUCAUGGGGCUUACAAUAUUCGGUAAGCUAGCUAGUUCAAAUUACUAUUUUAUAUACUUGGUGCUAAUAAUCCCAUCUAUACUAUAAAUUAUUCUAAUAUCAUGCGGAGACCACUGGAUUUGCAUCUGUAACUACCCCAAGCUUGGAUCUGCAAUUAUCUUAGACUCUCUCACACAUUCCAAGCUACAUGAUUACAUGGAUUUCUUAGAAGUUGUACAAUAGUAAGACAUCCCUUGGCAAUACUUAAAUGCAUGUUCAGAUUCUAUGAACCUAAGUUGUAUUACUAACUCUUGUCUUUAUAUCCUCAAAGUGUGCACAAGGUUUACGUGGCGGACGGUGGGGUAUGCCCUCACGACAGGAAGACACGGAUGAAUAUAAAGAUGCAUAAACGGGUAAGAACAUAAAAACUUGGUUUCUUUUCAUAUAAUGUAGAAUUGUCACUCAUCAUUUUUCUAUUUUAUUGCAGUGCCACAAGCAAGCCCCGGUACUGCACUAUGUGGAUACUACAUGUGCGAGUUCCUCAGAAACAAUGGGAGUUACCGGAUGAACAACUCCAAAGACGUUAGUAUCUUAUUAUACACUGCAAUGUGCUAACUUCCUUAUAUUAGUACAUCCUAAUCUUCAUUUACUGUAUACCUGCAGCUGCCUAAGAUCAACACUCGCAAUUCGGCGCUCGAAGAUCAAGGCAUCGUCGACAUUUGUAGGGACAUGGCUCAUUUCAUCCAAGAUGAGAUUUGUCAUGAGAAAGGGUUAUUCUUUGAUCCAAAAGGUGAGUUGGCAGCCGACAGAUGCGAGGAUUUUCGUACAUGGAAGUUAUCGUAGAUGGAAGAGUAUAAAUAAAUAAAUAUAUAUAUAUAUAUAUUCCAUUUGUUGUAUCAGUGAAUUACAUGGAUAUUGUCGUACAUGGACGUUAUGAUGAAUAAUGUGAAUAAUGCAAUUUUUAGUAAUGUGACUUAUUUAUUAUUUGGCGGCUACAAACUGAGAAAAAUAAAAAUUAUAAAUAAAUAUUCCUAAAUUUCUCUGAAUUGGCGCCUGGUUAUGUCACCCGCCAGUGUAGUGACACACUGUGCUGGCGCCUGGUUACGUCAUCCGCCAGCGCGGUGACCCACUGGGCUGGCGGCUUGUUAUGUCACCUGCGAGCGCUGCGGACCACUGUGCUGGCGGCUGAUUGUGUCACCCGCCAGCGCAGUGCACCACUUUGCUGGCGGUUGGUUAUGUCACCCGCUAGCACAGUGAACCACUGUGCUGGUGGCUAGUUAUGUCACCUGCCAGCGCAGUGACCCACUAUGGUGGCAGCUUGUUAUGCCACCCACAAGUGCAGUGAACCACUGUGCUGGCGGCUGGUUAUGUCACCCGCCGGCGCAGUGAACCACUUUGCUGGCGGUUGGUUAUGUCACCCGCCAGUGCAGUGAACCACUGUGCUGGCGGACGAGCACCCGCCAGCACAAAGCACCAUUUGUGCUGACUCAAAGUUGCUGGUGGUUGCGGAACCCGCCAGCACAAUGGUGUUUUACCCGCCACUACAAACGUUUUCUGCCGUAGUGAAACAUCACUAUGAAUGUUGCAUGAAACAUAGUGUUCAUAUUGCGGUAGGAAUUUUUCUUUCCCACAUUCAAACGACUUAAGUAGAUUUUUUGUAUAUUUUUUAAUGUUGCACAUAUAGAUUUUUGAUGUUGUAGAUGUUUUGUUUUGUUUCCAUGUUGCAACGGAGCGUCCGAUGGGAAGUCCCAUCGGACGUCCGGGCGCUAGCAGCGCCCUAUUAACAUUAUAUUGGUGCAAGUAAAAACUUGGCAACAAUUUUAAAGGAGCAAACACUACCGGGCAAAGUAAUUGAACCCAGGAUCAUAUGGAUAUAUGUGUCUCGAUCACUCUCAUGGAACUGGACAAAGAGACGGAGGUCAGCAGGUACACUCAUGACGUACCAGCUGACGAUGGUAGGUGCGUCCUUACCUAGCAGCCAGCAUUGUUUCCAUUUCCGAUGGAUCCACCCGUCGGGUAGUGAUGGUUUUUUUUCAUCAAGAUUGUGUAUAUAUAUAUGCUCACUCGUGGACAUGCAUGUACUGCAAAGGAAGCAAUGGCGCCGCCCUCACGAAAGAAUCUCUCUGCCGCCCUCCUCCUGCUCGUGAUCAUGGCGGCCGCCGGCGGUUCGUGCAUAUGAACUACAUCCGCGAUGUCGUUUGAUUAAUCUUCUACUCCAUCCGUUCCAUGUCAUAGAUCAAUUCCAAAUUAUAGAUCAUUUUAGCUUUUCUAGAUGCAUAAUUUUAUCUAUACACACAUAUUUAUAUAUAUAUAUGCUUAAUUAUGUCUAGAUAGAUAGUAAUACUAUUAAUUAGGACCUACUCCCUCCGUUUCAAAUUGUAGGUCGUUUUAGCUUUUCUAGAUUCAUUGAUAUUAUUAUGCAUCUAGACAUAUGCUAUAUCUAAAUACAUAAUAAUAUCUAUGUAGCUAGAAAAGCUAAAACGACCUACAAUUUGGAAUGGAGGAAGUAUAAAUUUUAGGACCAAGGGAGUAGCUAAAAGUCGUUUGAUACGCACCUCCCAAAAACUAAAGAAUACUUUGCCCUAAUUCCAUUUAACAGAGUUGGCGUCUACUGGGGUCUAUGCUUGCGGCGAGCGCAUCCAGAGCGGCGGUUUUCAAGGGCCGUGCUUCCCUCUUCUUGGCGACGACUUCUGCGAAAUCCAAUGCUUUCUUGAUGGAAUAAUCAAGGACGCCUUAGGCAAAUGUAUAGAUUUUAAAUGCUGGUGCUACGCGCCUUGCGACUGAGAUCAUUGCUGCUGCUAGCCACGAUACAGAGAUCCUUGCCUGGUGGCAUUCCUGGUGGCACUCAUGUAAUAAUAUAUAAUAUUAUGCUGUGACAAAUAAAAUUGUUGUGUUUCUCCGUAAAAUGCAUGUUGUGGAUUUCAACGAUGCAAACUUAAAAGGCCAAAUAUAACCGUUUGGAACCAUACAUGAAUAAUACUACCUUUGAAUCAAAAUAUUUGUCGCCAUUAACUUUUUCUUGCAACAUUGAGCAACUGUUUUAUUUAAAAAGUUAUUGGAAACAUACGGACAAAGUUAAAUUAAGCUUAAAAUAUACCUAUAAUAGUAAAGCAGAUCACAAAUAAAGUAGAUGCUACUUACAUAAUUUUUUUGAAUAAGGCGAAUGGUCAAAGUUACAAGAAAAAGUCAAUGGUGACAAAUAUUUCGAUACGGAGGGAGUAAAAAAAUCAUGGCACAGCAUCUAUAUGGACGCGACAAACUUGCUUCAGAAAAAAGAACUACUGAAUACGACAAUCGUGUUCGAAAGCGCUUAAUUCCAUCCGGACCUUCACGUGGUUCCCCUGUGCUAAUAAUUGUUGUUUCCGGAUUUGUGCCUAAAUGGUUUUUGUCCCACACCAGGCCACGGAAUGCACCGGCGCCGCGUCCUGGUGUUCCCGCUGCCGUUCGAGGGGCACGUCAACCCGAUGCUGCAGCUCGCCGACGCGCUCCACACGCGGGACCUCACUGUCACCUUGCUCCACACGCCCUUCAAUGCGCCGGACCCGUGCACCGCCCGGUGUUCCGGUUCUUGCCUGUGAAGCAUCCCGGAAGGAUCCCGUCGGGGCAGACGCACGUAGGGUUGCUUUAGGUUCGGAAGGUCGACCGUCGGCCUGCCCGACAACCAGUCAGACCAGUCCUUGAAACCGGUCAGACCGGCCUACGCCGAGGUGCUCCUCGCGCGCCGCACGACCGUGUGCGUUCGUGUGUUGGCCCAAAAAAGCGUCAACAGUAAUGAUGUUCAAGGGAGCCAUCGCAGUAUAAAAAUGAUAAAAUGAUUCACCACCAAACCCUGCGGCAUAUCAAUUGUAAUAUAGAACCAAUAAGAAAGCCACCCAUCAUCCCACCUGUUCUUCUGAGCAGUCAAGAGCUCAACACUUUAAAUCUUUUUUUUCUCAUUUUUUCUCCGCGUGGUAAAGGUGCAGCAACCAAACUGAGUCUCAUAAACAGUUUCAUCAUCAUCAAACUGAACUGUCAAAUUCUGGAUAUGAAGUUCAAAGAACCUCGGAAAGCCAUCAACAUCAACACAACCUCCAAAAGUGCGAGUCGCAAAGAAAAGCUUGGAUAGCUGAACAAAAGCAUUUGGUGUAAGCUGAUGAAGUUUUGCUCCAUACCUAUCCAAGAUCUAUGGUAGAACCUUGUCACAAGGGAAACAGUUUCAUCACCAGGUGGCCUCGCACUACCCUUUGGAAAAAAGCCCUUGCUAAUGUAAAAGUCAAUCAUGCUAUUGGAAACAAGAGACUAGCUAAAAUGAAGAGUCAGCACAUAGGACUCCUUGCCAGCCAUGAGCUCUGUGAAGGGAUACGAGGUAGGCUAUGUUAGCACAAAACAAAAUUUUCUACAGCACAAACUAGGAACACUAUUAUUAUUGAUCACGGGAUUACCACUAGACGAGGAGAUGAGGAAGUUGAUUAGCACGUCAGGACAGUGUAGUCGAUCACACGUCGAUGUCGAGCAGCUCCUCGUGCAGCAGCUCGUCCACGUGCGGCGGCUCAUCCAUGUGCACCGGCUCAUCCAGCAGCUAGUCCACGUGGUGCAACGGCUCGUCCAAGUGCUACACAUGUCAACACCUCCAAGGUAUCCACACGUGUGGGGAGGAAGCAUUGCAAACCGGAUUGCUAGGUCCGCGAGUGCAACUCGGCGUAGGCGUGGGACGUGCGGCGGCUGCUGCCCGGUGAAAAGGUUCGAAACCCUAAGCCGCCCACACCCCUCAAUAUUUAGGGGUCCCUGACAGGCCUCUAGGUCCGAGGCCCAUUAGUACUCCUAAACCUGGUCCAAUUCGGAUCAUAUCUGAAUUGGACUUCCAGCCCGUUAAGUGUGCGACCCUAUAGGCUUCUAUACGUAUAGACAUGACGCGAGUACUCCUACUCGGUCAAUAGUUGGUAGCGGCCUCUAGCAAGACAUGCCAACUCCUAUAUGCAUACGAAGAUCAUAUCAGACGAACCAUCACAACAUCACAUACAUAUUAUUCCCUUUGCCUCACGAUAUUUGGUUUAGCUCCAAGCCGACCUCUCUUUCUCGAUCCUGUGAUUCGGAAUCCAUUUCUAGGUUAACUCUUAACCUCACGUAGCAUGGUCAUGCAUUUCCGGAUCCGUUCACUCGAGAGACCCAUAGAUAUCUCCUCAAGUAGAGAGGGGCAAAUUCUAUCUUGACUGACCAUGCCUCAUAGCAUGCUUCUUGACAAACCCAAAAUCUACCUUUAUAACUACCCAGUUACGGUGUAGCAUUUGGCAGCCCCUAAGUAAGUCAUUCCACAUCUUGAGUCCAUGCGAUAGUCUCAGGUCUAAGGACAAAAGCAUACAUGUUGUGUAAAGAGAACUAUGUAACUACGUCUCGUGUUGGAUCAGUCCUAGCACACGUCUCUACACGUGCCCACAUUAUUAGUUUAACAUCUCCAUGUCCAUGACUUGUGAAACAUAGUCAUCAACUAAUACAUGUACAAGUCUAAUAUUCAUUUGUGUCCCCACAUGAACUCCAACUAGGGACAACUUUAGAAUAACCAUACAAGUAAAGAGUUUCACAUACAAUUUACAUAAUUGCAAAUCAAUUCAUGUAGCCUUUAAUGGAUAUUCAAAUAACACAAUAUAAAUCAUAGAUACAAUGGGAUAUCAUCAUCUCUAUGAUUGCCGCUAGGGCUCUCCAACACUCUGACGGGUCAGCCUCAACGUUAGACUAGUCCUCGCCACUAUGCAAACCAAGAGAAGCCUCGCGCCUCGGGUUAGGCUCGUAGUCAACCAAGUCCCGACUGGACUCUCCCUGUUGUUUAGAAGCCUCUUCGGGCAACCUUGCUUGUUCCGCUAACUCUUCAGAAGUCAUCAACCUCGCAGUCUGCAUAAUACGAGCUAGCUGCAAAACAUUUAAAAAGGUAAGAAGAAGAAGCGCAAAAAAGCAAGAGCAAACAAUCGAAGGAAAAAAGCUUACCCCUAUGCCACCUUUAAUAGGGACGGAAUCGGGCAUCAUGGGAUACCUCGAACCGCAAUCCAAAGCCGAAAAGGCAACGAAUCAGAAGACAACACGUAGGGAACAAACAACAAUGAUCGGGCAUGUUUCUCCUCCAAUGUUUGAGGGUGAUGUUUUAUAGCAAGCGAUCUUAAGGUUUGCGGGUUCGGCCCGUCGAAGUCAACUCUUGCUCUCGAGGGGCUACUGUUGGGGAUUGUGAAACUAGCCACCCUCGAAUGAUGGAAACAAAACAAGCAGUUUAGCCUCGCAGGUUCAACUCCUCGAGAAAUGCCUAGCCGAGUGAACCCGGCAACCUCGUGUGAUAAAACUCCCUUAACCUCGCAUGCGUAACGAAAAAUUCUGAACCCUCACGUAAUGGUAUUCAAUAAGGUGCCUUGCGGUUAAGCCACACAAACAUGAGUGACUUAUCUAUUCUUUAUUAACCCUCGAAGUCUCUAAAGGGACUCGAGGCUAAUGGUGUCUUCCGUGUUCUCUUUCUUGUAGGAACGAGCACGAAGUGACACUCUGCAAGGUUAGGUGAUUUACUCAUGAUGUUGCAAGAUUGUUAGCUCGAAGCUACUUUAGUCACCCGAGGCAAGAAGGAUGUCCCCAGGUUAGCAAGCCGGAGGUAGUACGUAGAACAUGAACACAUGGAGAAGUCCAAUUUGUACAUUCUAACAAAAAUGAUUAUUGUACACGGCAUAUUCUGAGAAUGCACUGGUUGAGUAAGGGUACUUAGGGAAUGUAAAAUAAUUCCAAUGCCUCUAUAAAAAGGGAGCUCUACCCCAGUAAGGGGAUAUCAUUUUUCCAAUUAAGAAGAGAGAACAUUGUUUUAUUCGUAAUCCUCAUUCUGUUUGGUAUCAAAUUUGUUCGAUGCCAAUAUAGAUGCCCACCACGUAUUCUAAGCCACAAAACAAUCCACUAUGCCACGAUCCAAAAAGAAUAAGCCCACACAAGAAGCUGAGGGUGAGGAAGAAAACCCUGCGGCACAAGAAAAUAAGGCUUGUACCUGUAAACUAAACCAACUCCAACAACUCUCAGAAGUUAACAAGAGACGAAGCUAAGUUAAGAACCAGAAGUGAAAAAGGAUAAGCCGGCACACAGGCAGAAAACCAAGACCCAGAAACAAGCACAAGGAAAAGAACUGGAUUCGGUGCUAAAACAACUCGAGGUCCUGAAACAGGUAAAAGAAAGAGCGUUGUUUUAUUCGAAAUCCUCAUUCUGUCGGUAUCGAAUUUGUUUGACGCGAAUAGAUAACUCCGUCCCAGUUGUUCUCAAACCAAACACCUCUAAAAAUGGGACUAUCCCAUGUCGUCCCGUCCUCCCAUCCAAACAUACCCUAACCGUAUUGAUCAAUAUAGUAUUUAUACAUGUACAACAUGGGGAGCAUAAUUCCCUAUUGCGUGCGGGCCAGCGAGCUGCGUUGGCGCGUGGCGAGCCAGCGACGCGGGCACAGGAUGCGUUCCAGGCCGUUGCUGGAGCUGAUCAUGAACCGGUCUUCAACAGCUUCUCCCUAAUAUGAUUGGUUGAUGAACACGGGCUUUUUUUAUGUCACAAGUAUUUGAAAUUGUAUUUAAAUUCUGCAAAAGCUGUUGAGUUCUGAUCCAAAUUCAAUUAUAUACAAGAUAAAGGCUAACUUCUGACGGAGCGCAGUGAGGCCCGUUGCCGGUAGGCCUAAGCCAAUUAGGGUUCCACCUCUUUAUAUACCUCCUGUAAGUCGCCGGUUGGUAGAAGUUAAGGGUUGUAAAUCCCCGGUGUUUUGUAACCUCACCCGAUAUAGUGAAGAUUUGCUGGCUGGCACCCGUGGGUUUUUCUCUUCCUCCAUUUUCCACGUUAAAAUCUAAUUUCCCCUAUGUUUAAUCUGCUAUUCUUCGUCAUUUUAUUGCCUAUCGUUUGUAACAAAAGCACUAGAGCAUGCAUCUGAAGGUACGGGGCAGUCACUUAGCUCGUUGUUCUGAACAUGUGAGUUGUGACUCGUGAUGGCCCUGCAAGCAACCUGUUUGUAAAUCUGCACUCCUGUAGGAGGUGUCUGUCCGAAAGCAACUGCAUGUACCGAAACGUGGUGGACCACGCCGCCGGCAAGUUCAUGCAGGUGAUCUUCAGGAUGUCUACUCCGACCCCGCUAUCCGCUUCGCCACCUGUGGCCAUGGCGAGGCUGGGCUUCUUCUUCUUCCAGGUCCGCAUCACGAAUUGUCUGUAUUCUUCAGUUGGUUCAGAGUCCAGGACCUGACUUGAUGGCCACCGUGCUUGGGAUCAUUGGUGUAGGCAACACCAAGGAGUAAGGAAGGCAUGUCGCUCUUCUUCGAGCGUUGCAACCCCAGCUGCAGCCAUAGGUGGUCAGUUGAGGUUGCGGGAGGUCAGCGCCAGUGUCAGGAUGUAUGCGAGCGCCAUCGUGGGUGUGGUCACCAGCGCGAAAGCGGGUGAGGGACGCGUCCUCUACGGCGUGGCGGAGGUAGCCGCCGAAGAUGACGGCGACAAUAACCACGGCGGGGUGACGGCAAGGACGAUGACAACCGCGAGGAUGAUGAGGCGGCUCUUGAUGUUCUCGCGAACAUUGUAGGGGAUGCAGCAGCCGACCUUCUCGUCGCAGCCAUCGCAACAGGCGCACAUGGUUGAAGCCUUGAAGGAGUAGUAUUUUUUCUUUCUUCAGAAUUUAGAUGGUGUUGGAGGAGGCACUACUACAGAAGUCCUCAUCACCACUGGUUUUGUGUGAAUCAGCGGUGAUGAGUAAUCACCACAGGUUGUUUACAUGGGCCGACAAUGAAAAGUGAAGCCGGCCGUGAUAAUAUACCAUCAGCUCAAAUUACAAACCGGCGGUGAUGAUUUCACUAGUAGAGAACUGACCUUCCAUGCACUCUCUUUUGUCCCGAUUUAAAGUUGGCUCGGGACAAAAGGUUCACCAACCAGGACUAAAACUCAGCCACUGGUGGGGGACUCACCAAUCGAGACCAAAGAGCCCCUUUCAUCCCGGUUAUAAAUGACAUAAAUGACAGUGGGCUGGAGAGGCCUUUUUGUCCCAGUUGGAAAUUCCAAUCGGGAUAAAAGCCUCCCCCCUCUAUCCCGGUUGGAAUUACCAACCGAGAUUAAAACAUUGGUCCCGAUUGGAAUUACCAAUCGAGAUAAAAGGGUAUCUCGGUUGGAAUUCCCAAUCAGGACAAAAGGCCCAUCCCCACCCACCAUAGCCCCCUCCCUCUUCCUUAUCUUAAUUUUCUCUCCCUCCUCCUCUCUCCUAUGCAUUCUUAUCCACUUCUUCUCUUUCUCUCCUCAUCCUCUUCCUCUUUCCCUCCUCCUUCCUCCUAUAGCAGGAUUCCAGGCGAGCCCCCGCUGCCCCUUUCGCCUGCUGCCCCUCCCCUUUCCUCUCUGCUCGCCCCUCACUGGUAGUGAGAAGCGGCAGUGGAGUGAGGGCGGGCGGUGGUGCGGUGGCAGAGUGGCCGCCAGCGGGGGCACAAGAGCAAAGCAAGCGGCGGAGGAGGAGGUGCGGGGCAGCCAGUAGGGAGGAUAGGAGGAGUAAGGCAGAGGGGUAUGGGCGGUAUGGGCCGGUAGGAAGGAGAGGAGGCGCGGGCUGGGUCUGCGUGGAGGCGCCCAUCGGAGUGGCCGGCGGGGAAGAGGCAGCCGGCCAGGAGGGGGUGGCCGACGGGUGCAAGCAGAGCCUUUUUUUAUUUUUUCAGAAACUCUUUUAUCACGGUUAGGAAUACCAAACGGGAUAAAAAUGGGGCCUUUAGUCUCGGGUGGAUGACCCGGGACUAAAGGACCCCCUUUGGUCUCGAUUAUUUUAUCCUGGAUGGCUUUUCGGUAUAUUUGAGGCCUACAAACCGGGAUAAAAGCUAAGUUUUCUACCAGUGUUUUCACCGCCAGAUCAUUAUACAACCCAUUGGCGAAUGUGGUUCUCCGGACCUGACAUUUUCAUAAACCUAGAUUUUGGAAGGCCUCGCGUCCGCCCCUCCUUGGCCGUUAUCCGCCCGUGUCCCCUCCUCCACCCCAUUCUGUGAGACCACCGCCUCCUUCUCUCCCUCCCUCCCCCAUUCUCUCCCUCGCUUCAGCAAGAGCAACCCCUCCUCCCCCUCCACCAUCCUUUUUCUCCCCCUCCGCUCGCCCCUCACCUCGUACAAGGAGCAGCGAUGGGGUGAGGCACAAUGGGACCCAUCGGGGAUAGGAGCAGCUGCGGUGGCCAUUGGGGCAAGGAGUGGCGGCGGUGGCCUGCGAGAGGUCAGAGCUGCUCAGCGUCAGCAUGCGGAGGAGCGGCGACGGGCUGCUCAACAUCGGCAUGUGGGUAAGCGCUCUCUCUCUCUCUCUCUGGCCGACGUGGAGCUAAGCUGUGGCGGCAACAUCUCCCGACCGCAUCUCACAGCCCCUCUCCCGUUCCCUCUGCUGCCCCUGUCCUAGCCGCAUCUCGCCGGCGGCACUCAGCCGCCCCUCCCCCGUGACCUGCCGGCCACUCCUCGUCCCGACCGGAUGUUGCUUCUCCUCGCCGGAUCUCUAAGGCACCUCAAAUUUUCUGCAAGGAGCGGCGGCCGGCAGGUCGUGGGGGAGGGGCGGCCGGCGUGGUCGAGGUGCGGUGGUGGGGUGGCCGGGCGCGGUUGGCGGGAUGAGGGCCGUGAUUUUUUUUUAAAUAGGCAUCACCAACAACCAUCGGUGAUGGCUUACCCCAUCACUGCCGAAUGUCAGGCAACAGUUUUCAAAACCGGCGGUGCUGGGGUUUUGGAGCCGGCGGCGUGAUGUAGUGUUGUGUAGUAGUGAGGCUCUGCUUAGACUUUAGCACACAGCUAGCUGUGUUUCUUGGUCUGCGUCUUUGUCUCACACUUUUAUGCAGCUAGUUUGUUGGUAGUGCACACAUGGAGAAGUCAGUGCGUUGGGCAUAGAGAUGUGACAAAAAGGGACGGAUAUUAUCUGUCCAGAUUUAUCAACAUUGCGUUCUACAAGUUGUACACAUACUAACAUCGGUAAUGCUAAGGAUAGGACGCUCGGAAUAAAAAAAUCGGACGGUUCGAGAUAUGUUUCAAUAGUUGAUUUUCGAUGUUGCAACUAUUGUUUUUGCAUGUUUCACUAUGAAUGUUGCAUGAUGCAUAGUGUUCAUAUUGCGGUGAGAAUUUUUCUAUCCCACAAUUAAACGACUUAAGUAGAUUUUUUGUAUAUUUUUAUCACACCCUGAAAUUUUCAAAUUUCAGAAUGUGAAUAAAGAGAAUAAUUAAACAACGAUUUUCUCCAAAUUUUAAAUUUUUUCCCACCUUUAAUUUUCUUUACAGGAAAUCUAGUAUAGGAAAAAAAAUAAUUAUUUGCUUUUCAGAAUUUAAUAAUGAUGUUCUAUGUCUGAGCAUUCAUGCCGAUGCAUAUGUUAUAUUUGUUUGAGUGCUUUUGAAUUUAAAAAUCCGAACAUAAGAUCUAUUUCAAAAUUCAGCUCUAUUCAAAAUUCUCAAAACUUCUCUAUCUCUCUUUCUCUCUCUGAGCCAAAAGCCCUUCUUUUUUUUUUGGCCCGACUCCCCCUCCUUCUCUUCAGCCCAGCCGGCCGCCCACCCUCCUUCUCUUUUCGGCCUACGCCAGCCCGGCCGCCAUUUUUCUUUCUCGCGGCCCAGCAGCCGCGGGCCGGCCCAGUUUUGCUACUUGGGCCGCGGAGCUAUUUGCUUCGCACCGGCCCGCUCCCCCUUUCCGCGAAACAGCCUGCUCCCCCGUCGCCUUGGCCCAGCUUGGCCCGCCUCCAGCCACCGACAGGUGGGCCCCACGCGGUCAUCCCCAACCUCCGGCUUCCUCCCGCGCCGGAGUCCAGCUCGCGCACGCCUGCGCGUCCGCAACGAACCCGCCCCCAGCUCCGGAUUUCGCGGCGCGGUUCAACUCCGAGGCGAACUCUAUCUCUCAACGCGUUUUCGACCGCAUCCUCCUCCCUAUUUAAGCUCGCGCCGCCGCCACGGGUUUCCCCGUUCCAAACCCUAGCCGCCAUCGCUUUUCUUCGAGCUCCAAGCCUCCGCGCCGCCGCCUUGUUCUCCUCCGCGCCUGUCGAGGCCGCCACCGGCUCCGUUUUCCCCGCGCCGCGCCGAGAAGAACGGCGUGCGCCGUCGGAUCUUGCCCCAGCGGCCAGAUCUAAAGCCGGCCGUGUGAUCCGAUCUCGGCCAUCGACGGCCGAUCCGACGGCUCAGAUCCGACCGCGCGGUUAUUGCGCCCGCCGAUUCGCCUUUUUUCAAAAAGACCCCUGCGCUUCUUUGAAAUCAACCCGCGGUCCAGAUCUAGUCCAAAGUAAUUACACUUUCGCCCUUCGCUUUUCCAUUUAAGCCCUUAAUUUCUUGAAAAAUAAAACCCGCAGUCCGGGAGCGUAGUUUUGCGCGUUAGACCUUCGUCUAUACGUUCAAUUAUGCAUAGAUCCUCGAUUUUUCGUGUAUAGGCCCCUGGAAGUUUUAGUUUUCUUACAUUUAAGCCCCUAUGUCUUGUUUUAAUCAUAUCUUUUGCAUCGUAACUCCAUUUUAAUCCAUUCAAGUUGCGUUAGAUUUAACAACAUAAAUUACACAUUAGUGGUAAUAUUUUCCCUCACGCAUAUUUUCGAAAAAUAAAUUUAAUAUUAAUUUGGUUAAUGCCGAAUAAACAUGUCUUCUCUAAAUAAAAUCUAUGUAGUGUUAUAUAAACGUGUUUUUAAUUUUAAUCUGGUUAUUUCAACCCGAAAAUACAAAGUUAUUUUACAUAUACUUUUAUUUUCAAAUUAAAUGUUUAAUUUGCAUAAUUUGUACUUAAAUAUUUAUAAUAAAAUUUGAGUAGGCUCUACAUCGUUUUUUUAAAUAAAUAGAAAUACGACUUGAUUAAUUCAAACUAAAGAUAUUUCUCUAAAAUAUAUUUAAAAUUGUUUUCUCAACUAAAAUAAAUGCACAAGUAGCUCUUGUCUAUCCUUUCAUACAUCAAAUCCCUCGAUAGUUCGUUUUAGCGUUUCUUGCGUUCGCGUGAUCCUUAGAUUGAGCCUCGUCCUUUGGUACGCUCUUUUACAAGCUUUUCUAUUGUUUUCGUGUAUUUUCCUUAGUUGUACUUGUUCUUGUAUGUUUGUGCCGGUGAUUGCUUUGAGUAGAAGGACCGCCAUUCGGAAGUUUUGAAGAGUAGGAGUCUCAAGGAAGCAAGAAGCUGAAGAGCAGUAAGAGUAGCUUUUCGUUGGAGAAAGGCAAGUGACCCUAACCAUCCUUCUACCUAUACUUAUUUACAUGAAUAUCUUGUAUUAAUUGGAACAUGGAGCGAUCACCUAGGAAAACAGUACUACCACAAGACUAAAUGGCUCUGGUCUUGGCUGAAUAAUUAGAGACAUUAGUCGGGGGUGAUCUUCUUGUAUGGCGGGACUGAGUCAUUGCCAUUGCACGCGAGCACCCAAACCUCAGUGGGUUAUCCCUGACUGAUGGAUCUUUGUAAAGGCCUCAUAGCGUCCCUAUGCAAUACACCUCGAAACUUUUACACAGCAUGGUUGGGUCUAAAGUUCUUCGAAACUUUUACGCGACUUGUGGGUAAAGAUGUACAACCUCUCCAGAGUGUAAAACUGUUAUAACAACCGUGCUCAUGGUUAAGAGUGCCCUGGACCCUCACAUGAUUAAUUGAACUUGAAGAUGGACUUAAAUCAUUAAAUCCUGGUUAUUUCUUGUGGCCUUGCUGAGUACCAACCAUAAGUGUACUCACCCUUGCUUAUCGCUGCUCAGAAGAUGAAGGUGUGUGAAGUUGUGAAGACGAUGCUGAGUUCUAGGCAUAGGCAACCCCCAGUCGAUUGCCUGUGAAGUUUGGAGCCUUCGUUUCUAGAAGUUAAGCUGUGUAUCUCUAAUGGUUUCGUAAGUCUCUAUUUGUGUUUAUUUAUGUGAUACUGUUGCUGUUAUUCACUUAUGAUGUCACUAUAUGUAUGAAACUUGAUCCUGGCAUACAUAUAGCUAGCAUUCGGUUUUGUCCUUAAAACCAGAUGUGACAAUUUUUCAAUAUUGAAUAUAUAGAUUUUCGAUGUUGCAGAUGUUUUGUUUCGAUGAUGCAACAGAGCGUCGGACGUCCGGGAUGCUAGCAGCGCCCUAUCAACAUUAUAUUGGUGCAAGUAAAAACUUGGAAACAAUUUUAAAGGACAAACACUAUCCCUAUUAACAUUAUAUUGGCGCAAGUAAAAACUUGGCAACAAUUUUAAAGGAGCAAACACUACCGGGCAAAGUAAGAGCCCAAGAUCUAUGGUUAUAUGUGUCUCGAUCACUCUAAUGGAACUGGACAAAGAGAUGGAGGUCAGCAGGUACACUCAUGACGUACCAGCUGACGAUGGUAGGUGCGUCCGUCGGGUAUAUAUGCUCAGUCCUGGACAUGUAAGUGAUUGCAAAGGAAGCAAUGGCGCCCUCACCAAAGAAUCUCUCUCCGCCCUCCUCCUGCUCGUCAUCAUGGCUGCCGCCGGCGGUACUGCAUCAACUACAUCCGCGAUGUCAUUUGAUUAAUCUUCUACUCCAUCCGUUUCAAAUUAUAGUUCAUUUUAACUUUUCUAUAUGCAUAAUUCUAUUCGUCCCUAAUUCUAUUUAUAACAGAGUUGGCGUCUACUGGGGUCUAUGCUUGCGAACACUACCAGAGCGGCAGUUAUAAAGGGCCGUGCUUCGAUCCUUUUAACGAAGACGACUGCACUACCGCUUGCAAAAACGAAGGAAAAAUCAACAACGUCCGAGGCUACUGUAUAAAUUUUAGAUGCUGGUGCUACGCGUCGCCUUGCAACUGCUGCUAGCGCUCCAAUGCAGCCACGGUACAGUGAUCCUUGCCUGGUGGCAUUCCUUCUUCCCAGCACUCAUGUAAUAAUAUAUAAUAUUAGGCUGUGACAAAUAAAAGUGCUGUGUUUCUCCGUAAAUGCAUGUUGUGGAUUUCAACGAUGAAAACUUAAAAAGGCCAAAUAUAACCGUUUGGAUUUGGAACAGUACUACCCUUUAUCGAAAUAUUUGUUGCCAUUAACUUUUUAUUGCAACUUUGACCCACCGUUUUAUUUAAAAAUUUAUUGGAAACAUAUUUUUAUUGCAACUUUGACCCACUGUUUUAUUUUAAAAUUUAUUGGAAACAUAUGAAAUAUGUUGCUCGCCUCGAACCAUCUCCGGAACAGACGAAUGAACAACAACAACAAUAGUUGUAGUAGCGUCAGCAGUAAGGCUCUCAUUUAUGUUACCAGAAGAAUUUUUAGCCUCUAGCAAAUCCUGCAAAGGGCGGAGUCGAUCUCGGAUUGUCAUCCAAAAAACCAACAUCAUCCUCAUCACUAAACACAUCAACAAUCCUUAGAACUUUCUUAUCAGCUUUCUUGCCUGCCUUUUUCACCUUCAAAACCGUGAAGGACCCAGCCACCUCAAUAUCAGCCUCGGUAAUAACAGCCUUAGCCACGAGUCCGGAAGAAACUAAGUCUUUGUCAACAUCCAGCUGUUUGCUAGACAUGCCAACGACACGCCCAAUGGAUUUCUUCUUAGCGGCCUCGAGGGGUUUGCCGAUUUAGACUUAAUUUGUUCCAAAAUGAACCAUUUGCAAAGCCUCGGAGAUAGGAAAAGGGCCACCAGGUAUUCUCUACGGACCCACAGGCAAGUUCUCAGCUGCCUCAGAACCAAUGACCCCUGCCUUGCGCAUCCGUUUAGCGGGAGCACUGGGUUUGGCCCUGGGCACAAGCUCCACACCCAUCUCAGAAAAAACCCGGUUAACUCGACGACCAUGCGUCGAUCUUCCAAGCAGCCAAAUGUUCAUUCUUAUGAGACGGAUCAAGAAUAUCAACAGCACGUCUCUCAACAUCAUCAAUUACUAGACAACUACUUUUACCCUUGGGAAGUCUAACACCAAAUAUGGGAAAGGGCACCGGCACAUGAUACCAAUCGACUUUCAACAUCUUAAUCUCCAUCGGUGCCCACCCAUCCGCAAGCGGCCAAAUAUCUGCAGUAAGAAAUUCUUCAACCAAGUCACACGGCCAGUGAUGAUAACAGAACACGCAAGGGUAAAAGCAUCCUCGCAGGACCCGAAACUCUUAGUUCUCCCGAAGGCAGGAACAGUAAUGAUGUUCAAGGGAGCCAUCGUAGUAUAAAAAGUGUUAAAUGAUUCACCACCAGACCCUGCGGCAUAUCAAUUGUAAUAUAGUACCAAUAAGAAAGCCACUCAUCAUCCCAUCACUUCUCUGAGCAGGCAAGAGCUCAACACUACAAAUCUUUUUCUCAUUUUUUCUCCGCAUGGUAAAGGUGCAGCAACCAAACUGAGUCUCAUAAACAGUUCCAUCAUCACCAAACUGAACUUUCUGCUUCUGGAUAUGAAGUUCAAAGAACCUUGCAAAACUAUCAACACCAACACAACCUCCAAAAGUGCGAGUCGCAAAGAAAAACUCGGAUAGCUGAAUAAAAGCAUUUGGAUUUAAGCUGAUGAAGUUUUGCUCGAUACCUAUCCAAGAUCUAUGGUAGAACCUUGUCACAAGGGAACCUCAGGCCAGCAGUAAAAAAAUCCCAAAAAACCAUAGCCUCACCGACUCGAGGUUCCGGAAUAAGUACAUCACCAGGUGGCCUCACACUACCCUUGGGAAAAAAGCCCUUGCUAAUGAAAAAGUAAAUCGUGCUAUUGGAAACAAGAGACUAGCCAAAAUGAAGAGUCGGCACAUAGGACUCCUUGCCAGCCAUGAGCUAUGACGGGUCAGCCUCAAUGUUAGACUAGUCCUCGCCGCUAUGCAAACCAAGAGAAGCCUCGCGCCUCGGGUUAGGCUCGUAGUCAACCAAGUCCAGCCAGCAUAAUACGAGCUAGCUGCGAAACAUUUAAAAAGGUAAGAAGAAGAAACACAAAAAAAAAAAACAAGAGCAAACAAUCGAAGGGAAAAAGGUUACCCCCUACGCCGUCUUUUUAUAGAGACGGAAUCAGGCAUCAAGGGAUGCCUUGAACCGCGAUCCGAAGCCGAAAAGGCAACGAAUAAGAAGACAACACAUAGGGAACAAACAACAAUGAUCGGGCAUGUUUCUCCUCCAACGUUCGAGGGUGAUGUUUUAUAGCAAGCGAUUUUAAGGUUUGUGGGUUCGGCCUGUCGGAGUCGACCCUUGCACUCGAGGGGCUAUUGUUGGGGAUUGCAAAACUAGCCACCCUUGAAUGAUGGAAACAAAACAAGCAACUUAGCCUCACAGGUUCAACUCCUCAAGAAAUGCCUAGCCGAGUGAACCCCACAACCUCGUGUGAUAAAACUCCCUUAACCUCGCAUGUGUAAUGAAAAAUUCUGAACCCUCACGUAUUGGUAUUCAAUAAGGUGCCUCGAAGUUAAGCCACGGAAACAUGAGUGACUUAUCUAUUCUUUAUUAACCCUUGAAGUCUCUAAAGAGACUUGAGGUUAAUGGUGUGUUCCAUGUUGUCUUUCUUGCAGGAAUGCGCACGAAGUGACACUCUGCGAGGUUAGGUGAUUUACUCAUGAUGUUGGAAGAUUGUUAGCUCGACGCUACUUUAGUCACCCGAGGCAAGAAGGAAGUCCCCAGGUUAGCAAGCGGGAGGUACGUGGAACAUGAACACAUGGAGAAGUCCAAUUUGUACACUCUAACCAAAAUGAUCAUUGUACACGGCAUCUUCUGAGAGUGUACUGGUUGAGUAAGGGUAUUUAGGGAAUGUAAAAUAGGUCCAAUACCACUAUAAAAGGGGAGCCCCCUACCCCGCUGUAAGGGGAUAUCAUUUUUCAAAUCAAGAAGAGAGAACAUUGUUUUAUUCGUAAUUCUCAUUGUGUUUGGUAUCGAAUUUGUUCGAUGCCAAUAUCACGCCCACCACGUGUUCUAAGCCACAAAACAAUCCAUGAUGCCACAAACCAAAAAGAAGAAGCCCACACAAGAAGCUGAGGGUGAGGAAGAAAACCCUGCGGCACAAGAAAAUAGGCUCGUACAUGUAAACCAAACCAACUCCAACAACUCUCAGAAGUUAACAAGAGACGGAGCUAAUUUAAGAACCAGAAGUGAAAAAGGAUAAGCCGGCACACAGGCAGAAAACCAAGACCCAGAAACAAGCACAAGGAAUGAUCAAUUAGGUGCCGCAGGAAAAGAACUGGAUUCGGCGCUAAAACAACUCGAGGUCCUGAAACAGGUAAAAGAAAGAGUGUUGUUUUAUUCGAAAUCCUCAUUCUGUUCGGUAUCGAAUUUGUUUGACGCGAAUAGAUGACUCCGUCCCAGUUGUUCUCAAACCAAACACCUCUAAAAAUGGGACUAUCCCAUACCGUCGCGUCCUCCCAUCCAAACUCACCCUAACCGUAUUGGUCAAUAUAGUAUUUAUACAUGUACAACAUGGCAAGCCACUAACAUAAUUCCCUAUUGCAUGCGGGCCAGCAAGCUGCGUGGGCGCGUGGCGAGCCAGCGACGCAGGCACAGGAUGCGUUCCAGGCCGUUGCUAGAGCUGAUCAUGAACCGGUCUUCAACAGCUUCUCCCUAAUGUGAUUGGUUGAUGAACACGGGCUAUUUUUUAUGUCACAAGUAUUUGAAAUUGUAUUUAAAUUCUGCAAAAGCUGUUGAGUUCUGAUCCAAAUUCAGUUAUAUACAAGAUAAAGGCUAACUUCUGACGGAGCGCAGUGAGGCCCGUUGCCGGUAGACCUAGGCUGAUUAGAAUUCCACAUCUUUAUAUACCUCCUGUAAACCGCUGGUUGGUAGAAGUUAAGGGUGGUAAAUUCCCGGCAUUUUGUAAUCUCACCCGAUAUAGUGAAGAUUUGCUAGCUGGCGCCUGUGGUUUUUUCUUCCUCCUUGAAAGGGUUUUCGACGUUCAAAUCUUGUGUCCCCUGUGUUUGAUAUGCUGUUCUUCGUCGUUUUAUUGCCUAUGUUUGUAACAAAAGCACUGGAGCAUCUGAAGGUACGGGGCAGUCACUUAGCUCGUUGUUCUGAACUUGUGAGUCGUGACUCGUGAUGGCCUUGCAAGCACCCUGUUUGAAACUCAGCACUCAGCACACCUGCAGGAGGUGUCCGUCCGACAGCAACUGCGUGUACUGGAACGAGUUGGACCACGCUGCUGGCGAGUUCACGCAGGUGACCUUCAGGACGUCUACUCCGACCCCACUAUCUGCUUAAUUUGCCGCCUGCGGCCACGGUGAGGCCGGGCUUCUUCUUCUUCCAGGUCCGUGUCACGAAUUGUCUGUAUUCUUUUGUCGGCUCAGAGUCCUGGACCUGACUUGAUGACCACCGUGCUUCGGAUCGUUGGUGCAGGUGACACUGAGGAGCGAGGAAGGCAUGUCGCUCUUCUUCGUCCGUUGCAAUCCCAGCCGGCCACAGGUGGUCAGUUGGGGUUGCGGGCGGUCAGCGCCAGUGUCAGGUUGUCACGAGCGCCAUCGUGGGUGUUGUCACCAGCGUGAAGGUGGGUGUGGGACGCGUCCUCCACACACGUGGCGGAGGGGUCCGUCGAAGAUGACGGCGAUGAUGGCCACGGCAGGGCGACGGCAAGGAUGAUGACGACCGUGAGGAAGAUGAGACGGCUCUUGAUGUUCUCACGGACAUGGUAGGGGAUGCAGUAGCCAACCUUCUCGUCGCAGCCAUCGCAGCAGGCGCACAUGGUUGAAGCCUUGAAGGAGUAGUAGUUUUUCUUGCUUCAGAAUUGAGAUAGUGUUGGAGGAGGCACUACUACAGAUGUCCUCAUCACUGCCGGUUUUGUGUGAAUCAGCGGUGAUGAGUAAUUUACCACUGGUUGUUUACGUGGGCCGGCAGUGAAAAGUGGAGCCGGUGGUGAUAAUAUAGCAUCACCGUCGGCUCAAAUUACGAACUGACGGUGAUGAUUUCACUGGUAGAGAAUUGACCUUUCAUGCGCUCUAUUUUGUCCCGGAAUAAAAGGUUCACCAACAGGGACUAAAACUCAGUCACUGGUGGAGGACUCACCAACGAGAACAAAAGUGCCCCUUUAGUCUCGGUUGUAAAUGACAAUGGCCUCGAGGGGCCUUUUCUCCCGGUUGGGAAUUCCAACCGGGAUAAAAUACCCCUCCCCACCCUCCAUGGCCCCCUCCCUCUUUCUUAUCUUAAUUUUCUCUCCCUCCUCCUCUCUCUCGCGCAUUAAUUUUCUCUCCCUCCUUCUCUCUCCUGCGCAUUGUUAUCCUCUUCUUCUCUUUCUCUCUUUCUCUCCAUAUCCUCUUCCUCUUUCUCUCCUCCUCCCUCCUCUCGCAGGAUUCCAGGUGAGCUCCUACUGCCCCUCCCCUUCCCUCUCUGCUCGAAAGGAGUAGCGUAUAUAUGCUCAAAGUCGUUUGAUGAUACGCGCCUUGCAUGUAUACUACUCGUCCCUAAUUCCAUUUAACAGAGUUGGCGUCUACUGGGGUCUAUGCUUGCGAAUACUACCUGAGCGGCAGUUACGAAGGGCCGUGCUACGGUGGUAUGCAAAAACGAUGGAAAAAUCAACAACGUCCAAGGCGUCUGUCUAGAUUUUAAAUGCUGGUGCUACGCGCCGCCUUGCAACGGCCUCUAAUUGAGAUUAUUGCUAGCUGCUGCAACGAUAAUAAAUUCUUCCAAAGAAUAAUGAUACUAUCCUUCUUCCCGGCACUCAUGUAAUAAUAUAUAAUAUUAAUGUAGCUUACUUAUGCUGUGGCAAAUAAAAUUGUUGUGUUUCUCUGUAGAUGCAAGUUGUGGAUUUCAACGAUGAAAACUUAAAAGGUCAAAUAUUUGUCGUUAUUGAUUUUUUCUUGCAACUCAUGCCGUUUUAUUUAAAAAUUUAUACCAGCAGUCACGAUGAUGACGAGGAAGAGGAGGAUGAUGUACGGCUGCCUGCUGCAGCAGAGAGACUCCUUGGUGAAGGCUCCAUUUGUUGCUUUUUGCAGGUGGAAGUUUGUACGUUAACGUUGAAAAUGAGCUAUCGGUCGAGCAGCAGAUUAUGGAUGAGUGUGAAGUUUGUCAACAUAUAUAUAUAUAUGUUAUAUAUAGUGGGAGAGAGAGAGAGAUAUGACGACAUGGCAAAACCAACAUGAAAUUAAAUUAUCAUCACACUGCCAAGCUAGGCAGAUGGAAAACUACAAUAUUGUUUCCGGACUUGUGCUAGCUUCUGCCGUGGAAAUCUAGGGGAUGUAGUUCCCGAAUAGAAAUAACAUCAUCACUGCCGGCUCCAAACCGGUCAUCACCGCCGGUUCGGAAACUGUCGUCGGAGAACCGGCGGUGAUGAUUAUUAAAAAACAAAAAAAUGGGACCCACCCGACCUCCCCGCAGCCGGGUGCCACCACCGUGUUGCCGGACGUGCCCAGCCUCCCCGUCGCCGGGUGCCACCACCGUGCCACCCAACUGACUUCGACUCCUCCCUCCACCGCGCAUGCGCCGCUGCUCCUCCCUCCACCACGCCUACGCCGCCGCUGCUACCUCUAGCCCGCGUUGGUGUCGGAGGGGCCGAGGGGCCGCUGGGGAAGCAAGAGGGAGCUGGAGAGUCAGGGGAGCGAGGUGUAGAGAGGGAGCCGGGAGAGCGAGAGGGAGCUGGAAAGUCUGGCGGACGGGGGAGAAGGAGAGAGGAAAAGAAUAGAGGAUGGAGAGAGGGGACUAGGUUGGGAGGAGGCCUGGGAGCUGGGGAGCUGUGCGGGUGUGAGGAAGGGCUUGGGGAGCUGUGCGCGUGACUUAAGCAAAUUGGAGAGUUUUUUCGGGUCCGGCUCAUGCAUCAUUGCCGGUUGCUGUUAAAAUCCGGCUCAUGCUAUCACUGUUGGUUUACCGGCGGUGAUACAUUUAUUGCUAAAAUCGUCAAUGAUGUUAUUUCUUACAACCACCCGCGGUGAAAACUUAUUACUGCCGGUUUUAUUUAAUCCGGCAGUGAUAGGCCAUCUAGGAUAGACCUUUCUGCAGUAGUGUAGGUUGCUAAACUUUAGCAGGGGUGUUUGAAUCCCCUUGCUAAACCCUUCUAAAUGACCGUACUACCCUUCAUUUAUUACUGCCAAACCUUGGGUAGAAAUGAUGAGUUAAUGCUGUGUGGCAGUGGGUAGUGUGAGGAACCUUUAGGGUUAUUUUAGAUUUUGCUCAGUUUUAGCAACUCUUGGCUGGCUAAUGACUAAAGCACUUUUUGAGCUCCAACUAAAGUUUAGCAGUAUUUUAGCUAAACCCGUUUGGAUCCAAAGUAGUUUAGCUACUAAAUUUUAGUAAGGGGAUCCAAACAGGACCUUAGCAAUCAGCAUUGCUUUCUCCCAGCAUUCUUGGCAAAUCUGAUGGAUCCGACCGUCUGGUAGUGAUAGUAUUUUUUUGUUGCUGUUGACUAUGUAUAGUAAAUAUGGUUUUGGAGCAGCCGAUCCAAAUUUGUCCUCUCUUUGAAAUGUGAUUUAUAUAUAUUGCAGACAUCUCAUAGAUGAGAUGAUCGGAGUAUCUAUAAUAUAAACUCUGGUAGUGAUAGUUGUUUUUUUGUUGUUAACUAGGAGUGUAUAUAUGGUUUUGGAGUGGCCAAUGCAAAUCUGUCCUGUUGCCAGAUUUCUCUUAAUUAGAUCGGAUCGGAGUAUAAUAUAUACUCAAAAUUGUCCCAAGCCUUGUUGUUUGAGGGGUGUGUUUGUUUCUUUAGUCCGAACUAAAAUUCAUGUCAUAUUGAAUAUUCGGAUGUUAAUUAGAGGACUAAACAUGAGUCAGUUAUAAAACUAAUUACACAUAUGGAGGCUAAUUCACAAGACGAAUCUAUUAAGCCUAAUUAAUCCAUCAUUAGCACAUGUUUACUCCAGCACCAUAUUGUCAAAUCAUAGACUAAUUAGGCUUAAUAGAUUCGUCUGGCAACAUAGCCUUUCAACCGUGAAAUUAGUUUUAUAAUUAAUCUAUGUUUAAUACUUCUAAUUAAUAUCUAAAUAUUUGAUGUGAUAGAAAUUUUAGAAGCUCCUAACAAACCAAACGGGACCUGAAUCUAAUCCAGCAGGUUAUGAGAUCGACAUGAGAAGGUGGAGUGCAUGACAUGGGUGACGCCUAGGGGAGGAGCAUAGUCCAUGACGCGACGGUCCUCUGGGACAUGGAAUGAACCUUUUUGUACUUAGAAGCACAAUCAGCGUAUAGCAAAUAUCUUGUCUAUAAUUAUCUUUUGCUUUACGCUAGCAAUUUGCAUUCCAUACGACUAAUUCUACACCGGUGGAAAAACCACCUUUAGUUCCGAUUAAUAAGCUGCAUAGAGCUUGAAAAUCCAACUAGGACUAAUAAAUUAGGACUAAAGAUCGGGGACUUUUAGGGUGUGUUUGGUUCUGGGUCGAAGUGGGUUAGGUUGGAGCCGACCCACUUCAACCCCUGUUUGGUUGCAAGCGAGUGUGGGUUGGAUCCAACUCUCAUGGGUAUAUUCCCUCCAGAUCCGGGUUCACUCCAUCCCACCAAAACGUUGGGAUUGUGCGGACCCAGAUGGAUGGCGCCGUCUCGCGCCCGCCCGCGUGGCUCCUCGGCUCUAUCUUGCCCUCGGGCGCCACCCCCUCGGGUGCGGCGGGGGAGCUCCGGCUGGCGGUGGCGGGGCUUAGGCCGGUGUGGGGAGGGGGCUCAGCUGAUGAUGGCGGGGCUUAGGCCGGCGCAGGGAGGGGGAGCUUGCGCUGGCGCGGCGGGGGGAGAGCUCGGGCCGGCGGCGGGAGAGCUCGGGCCGGGCGUGGCAAGGGAGCUCAAGCUGGGCGCGGUGGGGAGAGCUCGGGCC